AAAAAAGUUGGUAGGUACGUAUUGUAUAUAAAAUAGGUAGCAAAGGCAAACAACAACAUAAACAAAAAUUAGCAUACUCUCGACUGAAGAAGAAGAAGAUGACCAGGCCUGUUACAUUUUUGUGCGUUGUGGUGUUUCUCACUCUGAUGGUCUUCACCUCCGUAGCCGUAGGUAAGUAGUACUUGGUGAUCAUUUAAUUUCUUCUUCUUUUUUCUUGGUGGCCGUGUGUACGUAGUUAAUUUUUUAAUAUAUUAAUUAGUUUGUAAACUAAUAUAUAUCUUGUUCUGAAUAAUAAUAAUAAAAGAUGGAGAGAAGAUGAUGAAGGACGGAGAAACAGAUGGUGUGUGUUUUGACCAAUGGGGUUGCAAACACGGACGGGGACGGUGCAAAGAUGAAUGCAAAGCUAAGUACCCGGACGGGGAAGGAACUUGUGACCCAUCACUCACUCCUGGCUUUCCUGUCUCCUGCAAUUGCAAACACAAAUGUUAAAAGAGAUUGAGGGCUGAGGAAGAGCCAUACAUGUCAUCAUCAUACCAUCAAUAUUAUUAAUAACAUUUUAAAGUUUUUUUUUAUGUUGUAGACAAAUGGUACUUUUGUUAUGCCCCCACCCCAAUCUCCUCUAUUACAAACUAUUCAAGGGGAAGGAUGCAUUAUGGGCCCGAUGACUAAACCCACAAAUCCCUUUUGUCAAUUGAUCAAGUUAUAUUUUGUUCAGACUGAACAUAUUGCACAGUAAUCGUCUUGUGAGUGAUCUGUUUAUGGAUUGCAUUACGUCUCACCCCUAAUUAAUGACGAGAUUUUUCAUUAUACAUUACUUGGCUAUAAGUCCUAGUCAAUGUAGCAUUAUUAUCACACAAGAUAGUAAUCAGUGAGAUAGGUCUCGGCCAUAAUGGAAUCUCAUAGACAAAGUUUCUUAGUCAUUCUAUCUCCUUACCUGCAGCCUCCAAUGCUAUGGAUUUAGAUUCCAUAGUUGAUAUAGUGAUGCAAGUUUGCUUCUCGAAAACCCACAAAAUUGCUCCUUCCCGCAUAAGAAUACUCAUCCAGUAGUAGAGGUGUGAUCCUCUAUAUUGGAUAUCAAACUAGCAUAUGAGUACCCUUCUAUAACUGAUGGGUACCCUGUAUACGUUAAAACAAAAUCCAAGGUUCUUUUAAGGUAACCAAACACUCGCCUAAUCGCAUUGCUAGUGAUGAGUACUGGGAUUGCUUGUAUACCUACUCAGUUUUCCAACCGCAUAAGCAAUGUCAGGCUUCGUGCUUGUCAUUACAUACAUCAAGCAACCUUGCAUCUGUUAGUAUUCGAGUUGAGAAAUAGCCAUCCGUGUGUUGGGCACCAAUCUCACACUAGGGUGAAACAGACUUCUCAACUCAAGACAUCCCUUACUAUUAAACUUCGUAAGCAUCUUCUCAAUGCAGUGUCAUUGAUUCAACGAAAUUUCCUUCCCGUUUUGAUUGAUUCUAAUCCCAAUAAUCACAUCUGCCUCCCCCAUAUCUUUCAUGGGAAAAUUUGAUGAUAAAAACUCCUUAGUGUUGCUAACUUUCUCUUGAUCAAUACCAAAUAUAAGCAUGUCAUCCACAUACAAACAAAUGAUGACUCCUUUACCUAAUUCAUUAAAUUUUGUACACACUUGUCUGCCUAAUUUAAACGGAAUUCACUAAAUAAGAAAACAUCAUCAAACUUCUGAUGCUACUUUUUUGGUGCUUGUUUAAGCCCAUAUAAACAUUUAAAACCUUAUGCUCAUUCCUAGACAUAACAAAACCUUACAGUCAUUUCAUGUGCACCUUCUCAUUGGAUCUCCAUUCAAGAAUGUUUUCUUGACAUCCAUUUGAUAUAUCACUAGGUCAUGAAUAGAUGCAAGAGCUAUUAACAACCUAAUAGUCAAGAUUCGAGCCACCGGAGCAUAGGUAUCAAAGUAAUCAAACCCAUGGCGUUGUUUAAAACCAUGAAUCACUAACCGAGCUUUAAAAUUAUCGAUUGAACCAUUCACUUUAAUCUUCUUCUUGAAGAUCCACUUGCUUCCUCAUGGGUUACAUCCCAAUGGGGAAUCUGUCAAUAUCCAAGUUUUAUUUCCCAAGAUAGAUUCCUUCUCUUCAUCAACUGCUUCUUUUCAAAAGGCAGCAUCUUGCGACCUCGUAGCCUCUUCAAACGUAAUAGGGUCAUCAUCAAUAUUGUAGCAGUACAAGUAUUGAGAUCAUAGUUCCAUUUUGGAUCCUUAAAUCAGAUACAUGAUGACACUCGAUUUGCCGUGUUCAUCAUCCUCAUUUAAGCAACAUUUCAUGCAUAAUUGUAUUGCCUUAGGUAGAAGUUUAUAAUGUUUUAUGCAUCUUAAGCUUUUUAUCUCGAUUUAGUGUCUCGCACCCGGUUAGGGUCCAUUUGAUGUCGUUUUGGAGUGUUUUUCAUAGAUUUCAGGUAGCCUGGAUCUCGACUUGGUCGAAAAACGUCAAAGUUUCGUAUUUUGGAAAGUCCGAUUGAAGCAAGGCCAUAGGCUAUCGAAAGCUCGUUCAAUUUACUACAACUUUUAUUAGGGAGUUAUGUCAAGAUUUCCGCUAUGGAUCUGUCAAAUUUGCCGCUUUGUGCAUAGCGGCAAGAUUGAGACAUCCAUAGCGGCAAAGUAGACAAUCCAUUCUGAAAAUUUCGUCAAUCUUUGCCCUAUACUCAGUAUUUUGGGUAUAAGUCCUUGCUCCGAAGUCUGAUUGAUGCAAGCCUUGCGGCAUUGAAAAUCUUGUUCGAAUGCCUAUUAACUUUGGCUAGAACUAUCGAGAUUUUGGGCUAAAACCGUCUACAGCAGAUCAGCGUAAUUGUCAAAGUCAAACUUGUUGCCCAACAAGGAACUUUUUUCCUAUUUAAAGACGGGUCUUUCAUUCUUUGGGGAGGAGACCUUUUUGGACGAAAAUCAGAGGAUAUUUCAGAGACUUCAGAGCAAUCAGAAGGCGCGGACUUCAAAGAGCUUAGAUCAUAAGAGAUAAUCAAGAUCGGCGAAUCAAGUUCUUCGGCGGGAACAGGGAAAAUAGGUUUUUCAGAUUUCUUCUUGUAAACCUAAUUUCAAUGUCUUCCUUCUUUGAUUUUUAGUUUUUCUUCAUGAUUAUGAGUAGCUAAACUCCCUGUUCAUAGAUUAGAUGAACCCUAGGUAAUUGCUUAUGAACGGAUGAUUGUUCGACUUUGAUGAUUUAUGCGAGUUGGAUGGAUUUUGGUUUAUGUUUAAUUUUUUUUCCGUUCUUAUUCUUGCUAUGCCGUCUUGAAUAGAACUUUGUUAGAUUUGUUUUCAUCCCAAAACAGCUUGCAUAUCUUGAAUACUAAAAUUAAUCAACUAGCUUAGGCGUUAACCAUCAUCUAGGAGUGAGUAAACUAGUCCAUCGUGUGAGCAGUUUUCAUUUAUUUUGCUGCCUAGUGGAUUUCAGAUCUUUGUCUCGAAAGGGCGGAUUGGGAUACUAGAUAGCUAGCAGAUUAGCAUACCUGAAAGGGCGUGAUUUGAUUAAAGAAGAACUGCGAUGAUGAAUUAAAUAUGUCUUGUCUGUUUAAAUCAUGGAAUUUGUCUGUCAUUGGUGAAUUUCGAUAGCCUAGGAGGAGUAAAAGUCUAAGCAAUUUUAUCCAGUUUGGUUCAACCCCCAUAGCGUGUAGUCUUUCAACCUUUAAGUUUAUAGAAAUUUCAUUUUUCUUUUUGAUUGAUUGAUUCUCGUGGCACCUAAACCACAAAUCCGUUUAAUCGAUUAGCACUUUACAUAACUUUGAGUAGUCACGACAUUGAGACCUUAGGGAAAUUUGACUCAGUUAAUUCCUUAACUGGAUUAUUUUGAUAACGAGUAAAAUCCAAUCAUCAAUACACAUUCAAUAUGAUAACAUUGAAUUUACCAUCUCCUUCAGGGUAUGAUUCUUCCUCUCAACCACACCAUUCUGUUGUGCAGUGUAUGGAGCAGUGGUUUCAUGAAUGAUUCCCACACUUUAGGCCUCAUAUUGUCUAUCUAGAUGGUAAUUCGAUUACAUGUAUGCCCUGUCACGUCAAGUUGGAGAGUACGUGCUACUUUAACACAUCAAAGUAACUCUAAAGAAAGAAUCAAUAGACUUUGAUCAUAGACCUAAACUACUAUCAAAUCUAGAAUCACAUGAAAGUUUUCUAAGCAUGACAAGUAACUGAUUCAAAGAUGGUUCCAACAAGCUUAAUUUUAGGACUCAACAUGUAAAGAAAACGACCCAAAAGACUAUUGACAUGCAUCCUAUGUAAAACCCACCCCAUAUAUAGUUUGGGCAAUGUCCUCACUGAACGAAAUGAAAAAGUUGCAUAGGGCAUGAUCCAUGAAGUCCAAGCUCAUCGGCGGCAUUAACUCCUGAAAAAUAUUCAAACACACAAAACUAAAAAUAAAAGCCAAAAGGGGCUAGGACAAGUGUCCAAGUCCCACACAUAAUAAAAUGGAUUUUAGAUCCAAAAAUAAAGAAAGAAAAAGUCAUAAGGUGAAUGAUGAAAUCUAAAAUAUGUAGACCGACUCGAAAAUUGAAUAAUUAAAAUGACUCUAGGCAUGGGAUGGCUCCCAAGAAGUGCCCUUUCUUUAAUGUCUUUGAGCUAGACGAUACUUGGAUGGUUAUGCUAUCCAACUAAGUACCUCCUUGAAUGCCAUCGGGUUCUUUAUGGUAAAAAGUUGAGUGAUGAGAAGAAGUUGAAGCAGAUGAUGGAAUAACCAGAGAAAUUUGCUCGAAAAUUGUUUGUCACCCCAGAAUGACCUUCUCAUUUUGAAUUUAUAUGUUUGAGGAGGGAAGAGGUAGAAAUGUGUUUCACUAUAAAUAACAUCAAUCUUCUCGAAGUUACUUAUGCCACUUGAAAGGUUUUCUGAGUUGAGCAUGAGUGGUUCCUCUUUUGUGAUCUCUUCAAAUUUGAAGUGUAACUGCUUGUUAUCAGUUUUUUGGCACAAGAACUUCAUGACUGAUUAGGAGUUUUGAAGAACCUCUGUUUUCUUUGGUAGAACCAAAAUAAUCUAAAUGAUGUCCUCGUUGGCGGAGCACUUUAUGUCGUUUGUCGCCUAUUAUGAACAUGAGCUUCAUCCUUCUACAAUGCAUUGAUGAGGUAUUCAUUGUCAUCUUCUUUAGAUUCUUCUAGUUCUUUAUCACAAGCAGCUUGAAUUUCCUCAAUGACUUGUUUCCACAUAUCUUCAUCGUCAUCCCAAAAUCUUGAAGUAGAUCCAUCCCAUUCGCAUUUUCCAAGUUCACCAUCACAUAUAACGUGAACUUCUGUAAUGAUUGGUGUAUCUUCUAGAUCUUCACCUUCAUCCUCCAAGAAGUAAAAAGGGAAAUCAUUCCUAUCUCAUUGAGGCUUUUCUAGCUUUCAAUCAUGAUCGGCUACAUUAUCUUCAAGGAUGGGUUCAUCGUCUACCUAUAUAACCACCAUGCGUAUUGUAAUAGUGAGUACGUCAUGAAUUUCCUCAUCGUCGUCGAACUCAAAAUCCUUGUCAAGGGGGGUGUUGGUGGCUAGCUCCAUCCUUGAAAUAAUCUCCUCUCUAUCAUCCAUUCCCUUCAUCAUCUCUUCUUGAGCAGCAAGUAUAUCCUUACACUCCAACAUGCUUUUAACGGUCAUUUCUUGAAUAUACUACUUUAGUGAUGAUAGCUCUUCAUAACAUGGAGGAGGUUGAUAGUGAUAGUUAUAUGUAGGACUCCAUGUAGACUUCUGGUAGAUUGAAAUGGAACAAGGAUUCUCAUACCAAGAUAGUGAUGGUUGAUGCUCUUUGUGACUCUGCCGUUGGUUGUAUCCUCUGAAAUCUUGCAUCAUCACACUCAAGCAGAACUACCAAGGUGAAAUUGGCAAAAGAAAACAUUAAAAAGAGGCAAUAUACAAUGAGUGAAUUAUUAACACUAAACAAACUCCUUUCAAUCACAAUAAAGAUGUCCCCGCAAUAGUGCCAAUUUGAUGUACGGUUUUUACUCGUCUCAAAAUAAACCUAUUUGACAAACAAACUAGAGUUUAAUUUCCCAAGGGUCUUAAUGUGGUGUUUACUGAAAGUUAUGAAAAGUGCUAAUCGAUUAAAUAGGUUUUGUGGUGUAGGUUCAACGAAUUUCUAAGACUAUCAAUUAUUCUAAUAAUGCAAAUGAUAUGGAAAAUAACACAAGAUUGCAUGAUAUAAGGUUUGAACCAAAUGGGAGAAAACGGCUUAGACUUUGAAUCCCUCUAGGCUAUCCAAAUUCACAAAUGACAGACAAAUUCAAUGAUUUAGGCAAAACAAGAUAGAUUCAGUUCAUUGUCGCAUUUCUUCUCUAAUCAAAUCUCGCCAUUUUGGGUCCACUAAUCUGGUACCUAUCUACUAUCCCAGUCCGCUCUUUCGAGACAAAGAUUUGAAUUCCGCUAGGCUACAAAAUAAACGAGAAUGGGUCACACGACGGACUAGUUUAUUCGUUCCUGAAUGAGGGUAAUGUAUAACCUAGUUGGUUAAUUUCGAUAUUCUAGAUAUGCAAGCUCUUUCGGGACGAAGAAAAAUCUAGCAAGGUUCUAUUCGAGACGGCCAAGCAAGAAUAAGAAUGAAAACAAAAUUAAACAUAAUCAAAAUCCACCCAACUUGCAUAAAUCGUUAAAGUCAAACAAUCAUCUAAUCAUAAUGAAUUACCUAAGAUUCAUCUAAUCUAAGCACGAGGAGUUUAGUUUCUCGUAACUUCAAAGAAACAAAAAAACACAUUGAAAUUAGGUUUACAAGAAGAAAUUUGAAAAACGUAAGUUUGCCGAGAACCAUCGAAGUUAUCGAUCCGUCAAUCUUGAUUAUGUUUUCCGAUUUAAGCUCCAUAAAGUUGAUGCCUUCCAAUCGCUCCAAAGUCUCUGAACUUCUCUCUAAUUUUCAUCCAAAAAUGUAUGUCUUUUGAAUGAGGGAGAAAAUGCCUUUAAGUAGGAACAAAAAUCCUUUUUGAUGUCAACCGUCACACUAUGGGCCUUAACUGGUAUGUUUCAGGCACAUGGUGUAAUAUGGUUUAGGCGCAUAGUGUAUCGAACGUCCAGAGUCUAGGUGCCCAAACUAUCACACAAUGUGCCUAAACUUAGGCGCAUAGUGUGACAAUUUUUGGUGCAUAUUGUGGCAAACUUCCUUAACAAAAGUUGCAGUAAAUUGGAUGAGCUUUCCAAUGCUGCGGGCCUUGCAUCAAUCAUACUUUGAGAUAGGAGAUAUGUCCAAAAUACAAACCCGCAACCUUUUCCAACCAAGUCAAGAUCCACACUCCUUGAAGAUGUCAAAAUGCUUCUCAUUUCUUGUCUUAGAUCACCCAUGCAUGUCGUAUCACUCCGAUUAAUGCCUCGAUGUACUCAUGUACUUGAAAUUAAGAAAUAACACUCCAAAGCGACAUCAAAUGGACCCCAACUCUCUUUGGUGAUCGCCUACCCUUAUGUUAGGGGUUUUUUUAUUAAUUAGGUCUUGUAGGGUGAAUUGUGUUUGCCAAAUGAAAUCUUAAGACGUUGUAAUGUUGAUGAGGAUGCUUAUCUAGCAUGCCAUGAACUUAGGUGCUUUUGGUGCCUCAUUUUUCCUAUUUCGAUCUAUAUCUACCUUGAUUUAGCUAAAGCAUUAUGAAGUGGUGUUGUGGUAGUCACCUUUCUAUCUUUUGGACUUCAGUUUUUUAUCCAGGACUUGUGGUUAUAUUUUAGUUUUCUUUCCUGUGUCUCAUUGUUGAACUUAUGUGGGUCUGUGUUUUUAUUUUUGUUUGUUUGGAUUGAUGUAACGGAUUGGCAGUAGCUUUUCUUCCUUUUCCUCUUUUGUGUCUCUUUGGCUAGUGAACUCUAUUCAUACCUAGAGGAAGUCUCGAUCUCACUUGACGUUCUAAUAGAGCCUUGGUCCUUGUUCAAGCUCUACAUGUGCUCACUAUCACAAUCUCCACGUUAGUACCAUAUUUUCUGGUCGUAUCUCACUUGAUUGUUUAAGUGUGGGGGGAUUAGGGCGCUUCUAAAUUUUGGGGUACUUAACAUGUGAUCAUUUGUGCUUAAUUAUUGUUCUUACCUUUUAAAAAUCCUUUUCGAGCUUACUUUGUAGAUUUCUUUGGAUGCAUGAUUAGUGUUCUCAUUCUAUUUGUGGAUGUCUUGGAUGCUAAUAUCUCAAUUUCGAACCACCUGCCCUUUUACCUGAAGUUAGUUUACUAGAGACUUAUGUAUAUGAUACAUAUGGAUUGCCACCUUGUACUGUCUUGUUCUAUAUUCCAGUAGAGUGUAUGUUGUAUCUACCCCAAAUGGAUUUGUCUAGAUUGUUACAAAGCUAAAACAGGCGGGAGGAGUCCGAAUGAGGUUUCUAUUUAAAUAAUGUCGUGGGGGGGGGGGUUUAUUACAACUGAAACAUGUAGGGCGACCCUAGAGGUCUGCCGGCUUCCCAACCUUUUUUAGGCUUGGGGUGUGGGCCGGAUACUGGUUACUUCCGAGUCCGGCUAAAGUUGUGAUUAUUCUCCCAUUGAGAAAAAGCUGCUAUAAAAAAGCAAUAAAGAAAGAAAAGCAAAGAAAGAAAAGAUUCAACGUUUUAGCAUUCGAGCUUUGUUUCCAAUGAUAUGUAGUGCUAGAUAGUCAAGAAAACAACUCAAAAUUAUAUGGAGGUGCUAGCAUUAUUUGAGUGCUUUUAAAAAUUGAAGCACCUCCUCGCUCAUGACAGAAGAGAAAUGUCGGCCAGGACGAGUCAACGGUCUAUUACUUCCGCUGAAAAUUCGAAGCUGUAAGUGUUUGGGAGGAUAUGGAUACACUCUGAUGGUUAGGUGUUGAGUCAUUUGUAUCAUAUGCAUGAGUCUAUCUUAUACUAACCUUAGGGAUUCCUUGAGGACACCAUAGUAGAGUUAUUUUUAGAGUGUGAUUAGUAUAUUUGCUUAAGGACAAAGAAACAAUUAAGUGUGGCGCGAUUUGAUGAGCUUGAUUAUUAGCACAAUUAUUCCCACUUUAAACGACGUUUUUGGAUGCUUGGAUGUCUCACUUUGAUCGUAUUUGGUGUGUUUCAUGGGUAUUUUGUUACCCUUGGCUCCUUGGGGCCAUGUGAUUUUGUUUUCCAUGGUUUUUAUGUGUUUCUGGUGUCAUACGACAUCAAAGGAUGACCCAAAGCGCGUUUCAGAAUUUUCAAAAAUCAAUGAGAUGAACAUUGCUGACAGAGGGCUAACACGCGCCGUGUAAUAGCAACACACGCCGUGUUUUGAUAACACGCGCCGUGUGUUGGUAACACACGGGCAUGUGUUGUGCCACCCGGGAGUUUUGAAUUACAACACACCCCUGUUUGUUAUCAAUACACGUCGUGUAUUAGCAACACACGCCGUGUCUUGACAAUACAAAGCAUGUAUUGUCUUCAGCCUAAUCCUUUUCAGCCCAAUCCUUUUCAGAUUUGGAAGACAUCAUAGAAAUACUCAGGAGAUCCCUUUUGACGAAUUAUACCUUAUUCUAGACAGAUUUUUGAGAUUUUUAGAGAGAGAUACAGUUCCAAAGAUUGAUUGAAGCAAAAGAACAUCAACGAUUGGAGACGGAUCGAAGAUCGGCGACAAGAUGGAGAUUUCUCGACGAAAGAUGUUUUCUUCCCAGGUUAUUUUCCUUUCUUAUACCCUUCUUGUUUCCCAAACCAUGAGUAGCUAAACACUUCAUGGAUGAGAUGAAACUUUAGCUUAUCUUUUGUAUGGAUGAUGGGGUUUUAACCCUUUGAUUUGUUAUCGAGGUUAUUCAUACUUAUGAUGUGUUCUUGCUAAACCUAAUAUUUUUUAUUCAAUUUUGUUUGAUCGCCUUAAUUGAAUCAUCUUCAUUGAUUUGUGUGUCCCAGAGGAAUAUAAAUUAAUAAGUCGCUAAGGAAGAAUUCUAGAUUAUUCGUUAGUUCGAGAGAGGAGCGAAUCAUUUAGGCUUUUUGCAUCAUUUAUCAUUGUGGAAUUUCAUCGAACACCUUUAGUGCGUUUUGCUUGGGUGUAGAUCAGCUCAAGAGAGGAGUCUACGGUCGACCAGAAUAGAUCCUUAGAGGCAUGAGAGUGAUCUAACACUAUCAUACGAAAUCGCUAAGCCAUUAUAACAUGAAUAAUUGAGAUAGCAUAUCGUUCAUCCAUACAUUGCUAGCUUUAGUGGAUUCGAGGAAAGACUUCAAGGGACGAAAUGGAGAGAAAUAGUGAGAGAUUUAAGAGCAACUUCAAGGAAACUUCAAGGAGCUCGGAAUCGGUAAAGUAAUCAAGACGGCGAAUCGAGUUCUCGGGAAGAUCACGAAAUUAGGUUUUUCCUAAUUCUUUGUGUAAACCUAGAAUCAAUGUCUUCCUCCUAAAAUUUUUCCCUCGAGAUUAUGAGAAGCUAAACUUCUCUUGCUUAGAUUAGAUGAACCCUGGAUUAAUUCCUAUGAAUGAAUGAUUUGACGAUUUUUGUCGAUUUAUGCGAGUUGGAGGAAUUUCAGCAUACGUUUGAUUUUGUUUUCGAUUUGUUCAUGCCUGAUCAACUUGAAUGAAUUCUUGUUAGAUUUUUCUUCGACUCGUGAGAGCUUGCAUAUCUAGAACGCAGAAAUCAAACAACUAGGUUAGAUAUUAACCCUCAUUCGGGAGCGAAUAAACUAGUAUGUCGUGUGAGCAAUUCUUAUUCGAUUAAUUGCCUAGCGGGUUUCAAAUCUUUGUCUCAAAAGAGGAAACUAGGAUACUGGAUAGGUAGCAAAUUAGCGGACCCGAAAGGGCAUGAUUUGAUUAGAAAAUAAUUACGACAGUUUAGUGGAUUUAUCUUGUUUUUCUUAAAUUGUGAAAUUUGUCUGUCAUUUCUGAAUUUGAAUUUCCUAGGGAGAUUCGAAAUCUAAGCAGUUUCAUCCCUGAUUGUCAAAACCAUAUUCGUGCAAUCUUGCAACCUUUACUUUUAAAGCAAUUUUCAUUUUUCAUUUUAAUUGUUCGAAUGGUUCUCAUGGCACCUAAAGCACACUUGUUGUUUCUUAAAUUGAUACUUUUCACAACUUUGAGGAAAGAUACUUAAAGUGACCCUAAGGAGAUUCUACUUCGGUUAAUUUAUUAACCGGAUUAUUUUGAGGCGCGUAAAAAGCGUUUAUCAAUGUUUUUAGGUUUCAAGACUACUCGAUGCUCAAAUACCAUUCAUAAGAAGAGUUGGACAUAAUGGAAACCGACUAUGACAUUGAUUCUCCUCCAGGUAUUUGAAGGACUCCAAGAUAAGCUCUUGCAAUGGAUUACCACUACCAAUUCAUAAGUGAUCAAGUCAAUUGGUAGCAAACACAAGGUGUUUGAUGAAAUUCCUAGGUGCUUAGAAAGACUUAAAGAAACCACAAACACCAAGAAAUGGUUGCUAGUCACCAUAUGACACCCCAAACAUCUCAAUCACUCAAUUUUAUCACUACCUAAGUGAUUAACGAAAUGCGGUCUAAGUGUUCGAUGAAAUGUCACUAAGGAAAUCCUCACACUAAAGGUUGAAUUGGGGUGAGGUUGGGCCACACACACCUUGCUUUAAUCUUGGAUUAAAAAUCUAACUCAAUUCAAUCAUAAUUAAGCAAAAGAGAGAGUUCCCUUGACCUAAAUCAAGCCAUGACACAAGAUAGGUUGAAAACACCAUAAUCGAAGAAAUAUCCAUAACCAUAAUUAGCAUCUAACUUUAUCCAACCCUCAUCAUGAGGGAUCAUCUUCGCAAAAACAUCAUCUCUAGUCUAGCAACAACACAAACUAGCCUACAAUGGCAAAACUCAAAGGAGAAAGAGAGGUUACAAACACCAUUCUUGACAUCUAAGUAGAAGGCUUGAAGGUGAUGCUUCCUUGAUCCUCAAUCUUGACUCUAAGCUCCACCCAAUCCAAGCUAGCUUCAAGGACUUCAAUUUCUCCUCAAUCUACCCAUCUAGGGGCUUUAAAAUGGUGGGAGAAUAUGGGAAAUCAUAGGUGAGAUGAAUAAAUGGAUAUAGGUGAAGUUAUGAUGCCUCUCUCCUCAAUUUUGACCUUAAAACCCCUGUCUGCAGCCUCCACACACCGUGUGGCCUCAUUUCCAGCCCGAGAAUUUUGUCUUCGAUUGCUCGUAUCUCCCUUGUCCUCACCUCUGAUUGAGCUCCGUAUGAUCUCGUUUGAAUCAUCUCAUCGUCCUCUAUCCAUCGAAUACCUGCAAGCUCAAUGAAACAUUGAGAAAAAAAGUCUAACGGACCAAAAUAGUCCAUUCGAGAAAACAUAACACAAAACCCUUGUUUCUUCCAACCAAUCACAGAACGGAGUCAAAAGUCGGUCAAACUGAGUAAAAAAAUGAGUCUAGAUGGGGUCAAAAUGGCUACCAAUAAUCGUGCUAUCAAAUCCCCCCACACUUGAACAUUUCUUGUGCUCAAACAAAUAUACUCACACUCUCACAAAGAACUCGAAAUAUGGUGAACGGAAAGCAAAACAUAUGGUCUCACGUCGUACCAUGAUACCAAGUAGUAUUAGUCAAACACCAAACCAAAAACUUAACCAUAACACCAAGUCUUCUAGACUAGUGGAAGACAGACUACUAUAUAUGAUGCACAUGACUCAGUUUCUAACCAUCGGAGUGUGUCCAUAACCGCCCAAACACUUAUGCCACCUAGCUAACAGGGAAGUAAAAAACUGACGGCUCGUCCAGGCCGGGCUUUCUCUUCCGAACCUGAGGGGGAAGGUGCAUUGCAACAAGUUUUUCAUACAAAUCACAGCACUCAAGCAAUGCUAGCAUACUUCUCUAAUUUGCUUGCUUGACUAUACUACUAGCUAUAAUCUACUAUAUAAAACUUGCUUUCACUUGCUUUUCUAUGCUUUUCAUCUUCUUUUUUCUUUUCUUUCACUUUUCACUUUUUUACUUUUUUCCAUAUUGCUAUUUUUUCCAAACAGGGAUGGUCACACAACCCUGGCUAGACUCGGAGGUAAACUAGUCUCCAACUCACGCCCCAAGCCUCAUAAAUGUUGGGAAGAAGGUGGCCCUCGAGGGUCGCCAUAUGUGUUUAGGUUAUACCCAAACCCCAUGAUAUUUUAUUCUAGAAACCUCAUUCAGACUCAUUCCGCCUAUUUUACCUUCGUAUCAACUUAGGAAUAUUUGAUGGGGAUGGCUACAAACACACCCUAUUGCAAUCUAGAACAAGAAAUCGGAAGUGACUAAUCCAUGUGCAUCAUAUUUAGGGGUCCCUUAUACACUAGUUUCGAGUGACACGGCUGGUGGUUUACAAACGAGAUCUUAGCAUACAUGGCAUUCAUCGAAAAAACCAAAACCACUAAGCAUAAAUCCUUUCACCAUCAACCAUAAUUUUCAAGUUCAAGAGGGCAUUUCAAAAGCAAGAACAACUCAAAAUCAGCAUAAGCAAAAUACGCAACGCAGGAUCCCAUACCCAAAUAGUAUUAACAAAAUCCCCACCACACUUGCACAACACAUUGUCCUUAAUGUGAAAAGAGAUAAGAGGAAUAGGGGUACCAAACAGUGGUGAGGAUUGAAGCCGGAUGACGAUGAUGGAUCAGGAUCGAGCACCUGGAGUUUCACAAAAGACAAGGACAAAACAAAAGAAACAUAGAAACAAACACUAAUAAUGGUCAAGUCAAAAGAAAAGAAGAAACCCCAAGACCACCGAGGAACCUUCUCAACAAGAAUCCAAUCUACUAGGGCAAGGGUAUGCAAGAAUGUGCACAAGUAGAUAUGGGAGAGGCAAAAUGCAAAAGAUCGGUAAAACCAAUGAAGAAGAUAACUAGUUAUUCUCAACCAAGACUAACUUGCAAUCGUAAACACGAGAAUCCUAUAAUCUACAAAUGAGUAAGACAAGGGUGAGAAAAAGCUAUAGAACCAAACCAUCUUAACUCAUUCAGCAUCAGUUGCCACAAAGUAAUCAUCACAAAGGUGUACCAAGUCUAAUGAACAGGAAUGAGCAUAAAGAGUGUAUUCAAAGCAUCAAAUGAACAAAGUAUGCAUCAUUCAAGUGUUAUAAAUUUUUGAGCUCAAUGGACUAGUAGUAUUAGAAGUAACGAGCAUAAUAACAAUCAUCAAUCAAUUGGAUUUAUCUAAAGUACCUAUCACAGCCCUAAGCAUAACAUUCACAUUCAAGCCAGAAAGAUGCAAUUUCAAGUUCAUACAACAAGAAUUCAACAAUCCAUAUAAUUCUUGUUCAAUCAGCAUCACAUUAGCAAAGCUAGACAUUCAAAUUUGCACCAUCAUUCUAAACUAGCAAUUGCAAUGUUCAAAUUAGCACAAAACCAUCCAUUUGACCAAAUUUGAUCACAAUUCAAACUUUCCAAACACUCCAUCAAUCCAAACCGAAAAAUGAGCAUAAUCCACAGAGAAUUAGGCAAAAUCAUAAACAAAAAAGAGGUAGGAAAUCAAACGAGCUUUCCAACUCCGUUGACUUUGUGUUAAUCGGACACCCAAGCAAGUAGUUAUGCCCAAUGUUCCGAAUAGUGAUGUUUUUUCGUCCGAGAUUGAGCUCUGCUUGGUCUUGUUGGAAUCGUCUUGUCGUCCUCUAUCCAUCAUAUACCUGCAAGCUCAAUGUAACUUUGGAACCAAACCCUAGGAGUCCCAGUCGAACCACUAGUUCAACCGAAAGAUCCCAUUCAGGUUCAAAACUAGACCAAAACUCCACCCACACUACUAAAAAAAGCAUAAAAGCAACGAUCAUGAAACCGUUUAUUAAACACUUUUAAUACUGAUUGACACGGAGUCCGAAUCCUUGAAUGCAUACUGAAAACAAGACAAAUGGAGAUGCAACUACAGUAUGAAAAUACAUCAAACGAUACUACUGAUAUCAAAACUCCAACCAGCUCUCUCUCCACCAUCAGCUCCAGUACCUAUGACUGAACACACAGAUAUACCAAGGGAAACAAUAUCUAACGGGGUCAGUGAUAUGCACUGAGUGACUAAUCAAGGAAAGCGAUGAAAUGAAACUACACAGUGAUAAGUCUACACCUGCACUGAGCUUGACUGAAACUAUACUGAACUGUACUGGACUGUAGUGCCUGUACUGAGUUGUACUACCUGUACGGAACUAUACUACCUGUUCUGGGAUAAAAACAAGGAGUCUGUAUAAAUACUGAACUAAUAAUGUAACCAUGUGGUCCUGUAGGCAUCAUCCUAAUGUUCGCCACCCCUACCUAUGAGUAGACAACCUCAUGGUGGAUCAGACUAUGAAACCACCCUAUGAUAUCAUGAGAGCAUCUCAACGCUUACUCGUCACGUCUUCCUGAAACCUGAUUGUAACAUGGGGGAUCGCGCAAUCUAUGGGGUGGGUGACCAAAACAUAACAUGAGCUAGCCUAUCUUGUCCUGGUUCUUAAUCCUAAACAUGAACUGUGAAUCGAACAGUUCCUCGUUGUAAGCUUAUGCUCAAAUCAUAAAAAAUUGUCUGUGUACUAGAUCACACGCUACUGCACAGUAUGAAACACUUAACUACAUAACACAAGUACAUGUACAAUAGCUACACGCUACUGUACAGUCCUGAAAAUCCAAACAAGGAUUCCUGACAACUAAUUACAAUUCUUUCCAUAAAGCAGAAUAGUAAUCCUAACCCCUACCUCGGAAAUACCUUUCCCGAAGAGUCUGAUCCGAAGCUGCCUGCCCGAAGCUCGAUCUUCCCAUCAUGAUACAUCUGAUGAGUCUGGUCAAGGGUUGGAUCUUCCAAACCCUGGUUGUUAGGUUUUCUUACAAAAAACCAAAACUUUGAGAUUGAGAGAGAAAAGGAGGAUUGCUCACUUACCCAUGAAUCUCCUGGCCUCUCUAAUCUCCUACCUCUGUUCCUAGAAAAAUGGCCUCUGAUUCUUCCUCACCAUCGAUCUCUUUCUUCUUCUGGAGAGCGGCACCGCGUCUCUAAUUUCCUCUCUCUGAUUUUCUGAGUUUAUGAGUUUCUGUACCCGAUACUGAAUUAUAUAAUAACUCCACCACGCUUGUGGCGAACAUACCACCACGCUCGUGGUUGACUGGUACCCACACCCAUGACAUACUCAAGGUCACACCUGUGGCCUAUUGACUCCCAUACCAGUCGUCGACUAUUGUCCAUGAUCGUGAUUGGUUAGAUCAUCACGCCCGUAACUGACAACCGGUCACGUCGUGGUUGUCCAAUUACUAGCCGAACACGCAACUGGUUCAUCUCUAAAAACUUGAACCCAAGGUUAAAUCCAAAAUCGGGGUGUCACAGAAACAUGGGGAAUGUAAGUCGAAUGGACUGAAACAGUCUGUUCGAGAAAACACUUACUAUCUAAAUCAUGGUUCAAAGACUGACCUUUUGAAGUGGAAGCACGGGGUUAGAUCAAUCCAGGAUUUUGAUGCUGGUUGUUACCAUGAAUCUAACCAUUCCUGGUGGGACAGUCACGUUUGAAGUGACCAAAUUUCCUAGACAUCGAGCAAGUUAUUUUCGGCUUCUUCUUGGGUCUUCAUUUGGUAUUUUCUUGGGGCGCUUUUUCCCCUUCUGUCGAGCAGAUAUAUGGUUCACCUUCUUCUGUCAUAUCAACAUAUGAAGAAUCCUUCUGUUUCCCUCCUUCUUGCACUCGUAGAGAUUCUUGUAUUCGCAAGUGGCUUCCAAGUUUCAAACUUAAUUGUAGAAACCAAAUUUUGUCCGGGUUCUCGAAUCUUUUGUCAUUUUCGUAGCUGGUUUUGUCGAAUUUUUGACCUUUUAUUAAUUAGAAUACACACUUCUAAAUUUUUACCGAAUUGUUUAAAUUAUGAAUUAACGGUUAUAAGCAAAGAUGCUAUGUCGAACCUAGAUACUAAGCGUUGGUAGGAUUAACAGAUUGACAUGAUAUUUCGAACCUAAAAGUCAAGUUUUGUAAUUAGACCAGGUGAUAGGAGUUUCGAGCCCACUAUGUGUAUGAGAUUGGGUUACUUUGGGCCCGUUUCGAAUUUUAGAAUUUUAAUUACAAAUAAAUGGAUGAAAAUUAAAAAUAAAGUAUUAAUUUUACAAAAAAAAAUUAUGACCUAGACUAGUCAUCCCCCACAUGUCAACACCACACCCUACCACACCCCUCCCUUGCAUGGUCAUCAUCAUCUUCAUUCCUAAAAAUGGGACUCCUAACAACAACAAUAAAGAAAAACAUUCCUAGAGACCCCGAAAACAAAACUCAGUCAUUAUAAUCUCAAAUUCUCCAAUCCCUCUAUAUCCUCUACAGUUUCCCAAACUCUAAAAAUCUCUGAUCAAUCUCAAAGAGCCCUCUAUCAUUCCAACACCUCUUCCUUUUGUUCUUCCUUCACCAAUGCACUUCCCUCCACCUCUCUACCCUGCCAAAGAACCAAAGAAAAACAGCAACAAGUUAGUAGUAGAGUGAGCACAUCAUAAGCAUUUCGGAUUUCACGUUUAUGUCAGAAAUUCAUAUAGGUACUUGAGUUUUGAAACCUUGUGUCGAAAUUCAACUAUUUUUAUCGAUAUUUUUGUAUACUAGUUCCAUAGGUUUCCAUCAAAUCCAGUGACUUAUCUAUGUGUAUACUAACACGAACGCUAACUAUUGUUUAUGUUUUAUCAUUCAGUUGAUGCUUAUACUAACAUUUAAUACGCAUUAUAUUCCAACUAAUACUUAUAUGUAGCUCUUUAUCUACAUAGUACCAACAUUUCAUAAGUGUAUAUAUUAUCAUAUCUGCACCAUGUUUUCAUUUAUCCAACACUAGCAUAACAAAAGGAGAAAACGAGAGAAAGGGGUUAGAUUGUCAAAUAAAAUAUGAGCUUUUUCAAAGAAAGGAAGUUUCUUUAUUGAUCAGAACUAGGAUCUCAUCUUCAUAAAAAUAAUCCCAAGAUAGCAGAGAAUAAAAAUGGAAGAGGAGCAAAUAAAAUUUACCUGACGAAAAGAAAGGUGCUUCCUCUUGCAUGUCGUACAUCUAGGUCUAGCUAGCGGCGGUUUAACGUUGGGAAGGCCUCGUUCGGCCACGGAAAAUUAAAAUUGAUUAGAUCUAAGUUUAAAUCGAAGAAAACGGAGGGAAGAACGAUUUACCUGUUUUUCAGCUUAGAAAGAGUCAAAGAGAUGAUAGAAAAUUGAGAGACGGAGAAGGGAGGAGAGAUUCGGCCGAAAUAGAGGAGAGGUGAAAUUUCUGAGGAAACUUCACUUAAAUAUGGUAGGGUUUCAACCAACGAAAAGAAAAAUAUGCAUUGCUUUUUCAUUACUAAUAGAAACAGGCUUAUUGGUCAUUUCAUCCCUUGCUACAUGCCCGACUCUGCUGGGUCACUGGGCUAGCCGGUCGGGCCGAUCGAGUCUAGUACCCUUACCUUCUGGCGGGGUUUAGCCCCUUCAAUUUCUUUUGUUGGGCUUUCAUUUAACUUAUGGAUGAUUAAUUUAUGGGUUAAGUCUAAGCGUUUUGGGUCCUAAAAUUAAAAUCCUAAAAGGAGGCCAACACAUGUUUUUUGAUGAUAUUUUCAGUUCAUUUUAUCUAUUUUUGAAAUCGUAAUUACCCCAUUUUAAGUGAUUUACAUAACUAAGUUAAUAAAAUUAUAUUCUCAAAAACAAUUAAUAAAAUCAUAAAUAUAAAUAAUAAUUUUCUAAUCAAAUUUACUGAAUUAAUCUUUACACACUAUUCAAAGAACGCAACAAAAAUGAAAAUAAUUUUAUGAAACCAUCAUUAGUACAUGUUCAAUGAGAUUUGUAACGUUAGCCUUAACAAGAGUAAAGGCAUGCGAGGACUCGUCUUCCUCUUCAAAAUCUUUCCACAUCAUUCGAAUUAUGCAGACUUUGAUCCCAAAAUAUUAGGUAUGUAGGCUGCCGAGAAAGGCUCAAGUCCACCUAUAAAAAAAUCACUAUAGUAAAAAUAAUUGGUCCAACAAUGUAUUUUUCGCAAGAGCGAAAAUCCGCGAAAAACAUCAAAUAGUGGCGUGAGAUUUCUCAAGAGGGAAAGUACAUGAGUCCACAAUUUUCAAAAAAAUCCUUUUUAACUAAUAAAAUUAUAAAACACGUAAACUCCUUAAAUAAACUUAAAAUAAGAAUAGUAAUGUCGGCUUUAUGCUAUUAAAGUCACGUAAAAUUCUCGAAAAUAUAAAAUUCAUAAAAACUUUAAAAAUUUUUUAAAAUAAGUUAUCAUGUUAUUUCAAACCUUAAAACAAUUUAUCAAUUUAUUUCAACUUUAAAGCAAUUUAUCAUUUUAUUUUCAAUUUAUCAUUUUAUUUCCAACUUUAAGACAAUUUAUUAUUUUUUCCCAACUUUAAAAUAAUUUAUCAUUUAUUUUCAACUUUAAAAUAAGUUAUCAUGUUAUUUCAAACCUUAAAACAAUUUAUCAAUUUAUUUCAACUUUAAAGCAAUUUAUCAUUUUAUUUUCAAUUUAUCAUUUUAUUUCCAACUUUAAGACAAUUUAUUAUUUUUUCCCAACUUUAAAAUAAUUUAUCAUUUAUUUUCAACUUUAAAAUAAGUUAUCAUGUUAUUUCAAACCUUAAAACAAUUUAUCAAUUUAUUUCAACUUUAAAGCAAUUUAUCAUUUUAUUUUCAAUUUAUCAUUUUAUUUCCAACUUUAAAAUAACUUAUUCCCAAGUAUAAAAUAGUUUUAUCUACUCCCUGUUUUAAACUGUUGUAUAAGUAACGAAACUAACAGUUUUAGUCUUCGCAAGAGUGAGGACAAACAAACCACACACAAAAAAUUUAGCUCAUUUAAUAAAACACAUCAAACUUAUCGAUGUUUGUAGUACCAGUUUACCGGGCGCCGUGGGGGUGCUAAUCCUUCCCCACACGUAACCGUCCUCCUUACCCAGAUCUCUGAAUGCAGACCAUUCCCGGUUUACGUUCCAAAGUCUGAACCGGGCUCCAAGUGUGCAAUCCACUUUUAAGCGAUUGGUGGCGACUCCGAACCAUGUCUGAUCAUCGGAGGGUGGGCGGAAACGUUCACCAUAUUAAUAAAUGAUUUAAAGCUUUUUGUUAAUCAAAUAAUUGAAAUUUAAUGUAUUAUUUACUAACGGGUCAUUUGGGUAGGUGACUGUCUAUAGUUUAUUUAUGGUCGUAUCAAUUACCAAAAGAAUAAAAAUGGUAAUUUUGGUUAAAAUUCUCAAAUCUCCCUUCUCUCCUCCAAAAUCUCUACCUCUCAUAAAUGAUUUGAAAUCACUCACGAAAUUCUCUUCGGGCCCGCCCACAUGGUGAUUUUAAAUCUCCACAAAUCUCUUCUCUUUUUAGUGUCGAAACAGGUGAUUUGGGAUUAAAUCUCUUUUGAGAUCCAAUUACCCGUCCAAAUCACCUACCCAAACGACCCAUAAAUUUAUGAUUGUUACUUUUUAGUGUUAAUUAGUUACCAUAAUAUUUAAUAGAGAUAAUACACAUUUACAUCAUUGUACUAUACAAAAUUUACAUUCACACCUUUUAUAAUAUUUUAACCGAUCUAACCCUUGAAUUUGACAAAGUUUACAAAUGGCUUUUUCUGUUAAAUCUCCAUCACACGUCCGUAAAUAUACUGAUGUAUUUUAAACACAAAAAAAUAAUUAAUUGAGAAUCAAUAAAACCCAAAGUUUAGAAGACAAUGAAAUAACUUUAAUUGAGGAUCGGUAAAACUCCUCCGUUCACCCUCAUCUUUCCUUGCCCUUGUCUUCAUCAGUCUACCGCCCCCUAGAGUUGUUAAACGAGUGGGUUGGGCGGGCCACAGGUCGGGUUAGUUAGGUUACAGGUUCAUCGAGUUGUGGGUUCAUCGGGUCACGGGUUAGUCGGGUUGUGAGCUCGUCGGGUUACGGGCUCAUCGGGUUACAGGCUCAUCGGAUUACGGGUUCGUCGGGUCACGAGAUCGUCCGUCACCAGUUGGGCGGGGUUGUGGCUCGAGUUGCCUAUCGGCUGACAAUAAUUUCACAAAACAUAAUAAAUUUUUUUGUUUAUCUAGCAAAAAAUUACAUUUUAUGGGUUAUUGUUUAUACAUAAAUAUAUUUUUAUUUCCUUUUUUUCUAAUCAAAUUUUAAUAUUUAUAUAAUUUUUCAAUUACUAUCUAUUGAAUAAAUUAGUUACUUGAAGAUCACUUUGAUAGGCUUAAACUUUAAUAAAGGAAAUUACAAUUUUAAUGCAAGUUUUAGUGCAUAAGUUAUAUUGAAUACUGUCAUUCGAGUUAUUCGAGUUGGGAUAGUUGGAUCGCGGGUUAGUCGGGUUACGGGUUGCGGGUUAGUCGGGUAUGGGUUGCGGGUUAGUCGGGUCACGGGUUAAUCGGGUUUUGAGUUCAUCGAGUCGCGGGUUCAUCGAGUCACGGGUUGGGCGGGUUACGGAUUGUUGACUUUUUGGUUAAUCGGUCACCAAUAAUGCUGGGUUGAAUCGAGCAGAUGGAUUCAUCGGAUCAGAUUAAGAUUUUGCCAGCUCUGGGCACCCAUAUGUUGGAAAUCAGGACUACAAUGUUCAACGAUAUAUGCAAGCUGUCGAUAUGCAGAUAUGGAAGGAAAGUAUAGAAGGAAGUAAAUCGUACCUCUUGAGGAAUGCCUAACGGCUGGCAGAUCAAUUGACGAUUGUGCAAAUCAACUAUCAACGGUCAAAUGAGGAGCUACAUUCAAGUAUAAAUAAGAGAGCCCAAGAACUUUGGAGCUCACCGAUUCAAGCAUACAAGUGUUCAGCUUCUGAGAUUACUUUACAAUUGAUAUUGGUCUUUCGUCACUAUUACUUUGUGUGAAAAUUGAUAGGUAAUGAGUUAGAAGUAAGAGUGAGUGAGGGUACUCGAAGAAGUAAGUCGGUAAAGAUCGUCAAGGAGUGUCGACUUGUAUCGCAGUUUUUAUUGUUCAGUUCACUAGCGUGUCACUCUGAGUUUGGAGGUUUUGUCACAUUGAUGCGAUUUGAAGGUAUUGUCACUUCAUGUUUAUGAAAAUACGUUAUUUUAUUUAUGAUAAUAAUAUAACUUCUGAGAUAACUAUUUUCCAAACGUAAGCAUCAUUUUUAAUCCACGUUAAAUCAAUGUGUUCCUAAUUCUCGUUCAUAUAAUCAAUCGGUUCGUACGUUUCAGGAAACUUGGUAAACACAUUAGUUGGACUAAAUCUGUUGUUAGACUUAAGUUGUCUUUUGGGCCUUAAGCCUUAUACUAAUCUUGGCCACAAAAACAAGGUAAGAAACAAAUUCAUUUUGUUUCAUCUUCUUCUCAAUCCGACAGCCGAGAGGGCCAAGCUCUCUGUCUGUUCGCGAUCUCCACUUUCAAUUUCACUUUCAAGCUUAUGCUUGACCGAAAUUGCCGAGAUAGGAGUGUUUAAGUGAGUUUCAGCCUCCUCAUUGGCGUCCCCUUAUUAUCUGACGAAACUCGUCGGUCUCUGUUUUUGGGUUAUUGGAGGUUCAACAAUCUUACAGGAAUUGAUUACUGACUUCGUUCAAAAUUAUCUUACUGGUGAAUUUCUUGAAAAUUUGCAGCUUUACAAGACUUAUCCAAGCUUAACUUUGAUGAAAAUGUGCUUCUAGGAAAGUAAUGGACUUGAUUUUCUUAUUUACCUGGAAAAUCAGAUUUGGGUGAUGGGGGUAGGGGAAGAUCUAUUAGUCUGUUGACAGAGGAAGAGACAGAAUAGAAAAAUAUUGUCGAUCUGUUAAGUAAGGAAGAUAGAGAGCAGAUCUACAAAUCUAUUAAGCGAGAAAAGAGGUCAUGUAGUUGGCCGCUAGGGUUCGUCGGGGAGAGAGAGAGACAGAGAGAGUAAUCUGAGAGUAGGCAUCCAUCGAUUAUGGUCGGAAAUCAUUGUAGAUAAGAGAGAUUAUUUAGCCGUUGAAAGAGAGAUGUAGAUCGCAGAAGGGCGGAGGCGAUAAAAGAAAAGAACAAUUUUUAUUCCUUCCCAUUUGUAGCAUUUUUUUGUAGCGGUGGAAUUUUGGAUCUUGACUGAUGCUGGUCGAGGGAUAGGUUGAGAACCGGAAGGUGUCGAGAAAAAGAUGAAUGAAGCGUUUGAGAUGGACGAGGAAGAUGAAAUGAUUUUUUUUAUCAAAAGAUAAAGUUAAAUUUUAAAUUUGUAUUUAAAUUAAUUAAUUUACUUCGGUGAAAAUUGAGCUAUCGACGUUAAAAAUCCUCUAUAUUUAACGUUUUUUUUAAAUGUAUUAACGUUUUGUUCACGCACCCCUCCUCUCUUCAGAUUUCUAUAAAUCAAAUAAUUAGCGUAGAGUGAAAACCCACCGGUUAAUUUUCACAAGGGAAACUCUAGAAGUAAUCUUCUCUCGUGUCUCCGGUGGAUCCCAAAAUUGGCUGUCGAGUUUGUCCUGUCGUUGUCUUUGGAUUAGAAAUUUGCGAAUCCUCGCGUUUCCAGCUGCUUCAACCAUGGAAGACGAAGCAGAAAUCUACAACGGAGUCCAAGCUCAGUUCCCUCCUCAUCUUUUGCCGUACUCCUCCUCGUCGUUAGCGACGGGGCGGCGAGUGGCUUUUGUUCUACAAACCCAGGACUCAUCAUGUUUUCUUACUUAAUCUUCAAUCCAUUUUCACAAGAGAUUGUGAAGCUGUCGAUGUUCGAGCAGAGUUUUCAAGAGAAAGCACUUUGCUGCCAUUUUGAUCAUCUCCAGGUUAAUUUUUGAUUUGUGUACUCUACUUGAUUCAAAUUUUGGAUUUCGAUUUACUUAUUAGUGUUCUCUACUUCAUUGUAUUUCAACAGGUUACUACAAAGAAGCAUAUGCUUAUACAGUAGCAAGCUCAAUCAAUCCAUGGUGAUUUACUGGUUUAAGUCGGAGCAGAAGAAUUGAUGUAUCGAGUUUAGAAUCACAUAAAAAAUUGUAAUCGACAGAUUCAAUAUUGUGUACUAACACCCAACUUUCCCCAACAUGCAUCCUUUUAAACCACCAAUCUAGUAGCCACUCUGGUAUUCCCACCACCGACGUCGCCUCCUCAUCUUUCAUCGUACUCCUCGUCAUCGUUAGUGGCAGCAGCGCCGGAGGAAGUAGCGGGAAGACUAAGAUUUCUUCAUAUGCCCUGUUUAAUUUUCUUUUCGAUGAAUCUAGUAGAAGGAAGAGGGAUUUGGUGGAUAUUGUGUACUAAAACCCAACUUUUCCCAACAUGCAUCCUUUGAAACAUCAAUUUAGUAAUCACUUUGGUAUUUCCACCGUCGCCGCCUCCUCAUCUUCCUCCGUACUCCUCGUCGUCGUUAGUGGUAACGGCACGGGAGGAAGCAGCGAGAAGACUUGAAUUUCUUCAUCUGUCAUGUUUAGUUUAUUUUCCCGAUGAAUCUAGUAGAAGGAAGCGGAAUUUUAGUGGAUUUUGGGGAAGGAGAAGAGGAUUUUCAAGAGGGAGAUGAUUGAUUUGAGGAUACUGAUUGAUUGAAGAAGAAGUGAAUGAGGAUGUUGUUCAAGAGAAUGAAGAAGAAGACGAAGUAGAGGAGAAUCGGGUAAGUAUAUUUUGGUUUAACCCGGUUAGAAAUCGGAUAGUGGUUAGAGAAUCACACUCUGAGUUGCUUGAAUGAUGGCUGAGAAUCUUGCUUAUGUGACGUGCAUGCGUGGCGAAGGGGACAGAAAUAGACGAAAAAUGCUGACGGCGAGUUGCGAAAUUUGCGACUCAAACCAUUUUGAUGAAAAAUACGAAGUUAGGACAUUUUAAAAAAUCUUAAAUAUGGUAAUCACUUUUUCACGUUUGGUCACGACAAGAAUGGUCACAGGCAUUUAAUGGCAUUGUCUGUGACUAAGCAUUAUUUUAAUGCAGGCUUGCAUGCGAUUAUAUUUGAAUUUGUCUGCGACAAUAAUUAAUCUUGGUUGUAGUGUAUCCUUUGUUUUGGAUAGGCUAGGCAAAAUAUAUGGUUGAACUAGUGAUUACCUUUCAAAAAACAAUAUUUGGGUUUGGUAUUUUACCUUUCGUUUUGGGAUUCUUAAAAUCCCAAAAUUUUAGUCAUUCACACAGAGAACAAAGAAACUAGUUCCUUUCUUCCAACCCAAAUAUUCAUUCAAUAAACAGGUCUAUAAGGUGCAUUUUAUAGAUUUUUGACCGUCGGAUGAGAUAAUUUUGAUGUCAAAUUUCAUCUAAUAGCUAAAAAUGAAUAAAAUAAAAUGAUACGGAUUCUGGGGCAAAUUUGACAUAAAAUAUGAGGAAAUUUGUUUUGGGCGGGAAAAAUGGAGUGAGAGGGAAAUUAAAUUAUUUUUUAUUUUUAUUUUUUUAUUAUAUCAGAUUCUUUCUCUUUUCUAUUGUUCCCUAAUUUUAAUUAAAUGACUAUAAUUAUUUAUACAAUGCUUAAAACAUAAUUUGCACUUCACACAUGUUUCUUGUUUAAAAUUUUUGGAGUAUAUUGAGACCAAUUUUGAUAUAGCUUAUUAAUUUUAUUAUGAUGUUACAUUAUAUAACUAAUAAGUUUAUACAAAUUUCAUAAUUAUAUUGUAUAACUGUUAUAUAAUCAUUACAUGACCAUUAUGUCUCAUUAAUCUGUUCAUUUUUUACGAGUCUAUUAAUUUACUGUUAUGUUUUUUUAUUUGUAAAUUAUGAUAUUGUUAUGUCCACAUUAUGCUUAUGUCCACAAUAUGAGUGUUUUUUAAUCUCUAAAUGACACCCUAACUUUCGAAUUAAAUAAUGCUCUAGAUUGAGUAAAUUACGUUAUUAACGUUGAAGGAAUUGAAAAAAGCCCUAAGGGGCUGCCCGAACACUCGUUUCGGCCAGCACUAAGGCCGGUAGGCUACUUGUUUCGGCUGGGCCAAGGAGCCAGCCGGCCGGUCGUUUCGGCCGACACUAAAGCCAGCCCGAACGAUCGGCCGGAUGGCUCCUUGGGCCAACCGAUACAAGUGGCCGGCCGAGCCUUAGUGCCGACCGAAACGGGUGUUUGGUCGGGCCUUAGUGCUCGGGGAAACGGGUGUCCAGCUAGCACCUUAGUUUUUUUCCAGUUUUUCGAGGUUAAUAAUGUAAUUUACUCAAUCUAGGCCGGUCGGGACAUAAUGCUAGCCAACAAGGGUGUCCAACCGGGACCUAAUGCUGGCCGAAACAAGUGGCCGAUCGGCUCCCUAGGUUUUUCUUUAUUUCUGCGAGGUUGAUUGCGAGGUUAAUUGAACGAUAAUGGACCAUAAUCCAACAAAUUAACAUAAAAUUUUGUAGAAAUUGACAACAUAAUCCAUAAUCUGAGAACAUAAUAACAUAGUUUCAUAACAUAAUCCAACAAUGACACUCUAAAUACAAGAAUAACAUCUAUAGGGGUGGGGACCAUCCUAUCGUACUUCUUGCGUUCUGCCUUGUAUAGAUGAUUUUCCCACAUCUCUUUGGGCAUGCUAUCGGCCUACCACGUCCACAUCAAAGCAUUCACGGGGAUGGGUAAUACUUCGAUGUCGUCAUCUAAUGUGACCACAAUUCAUUACAUCAAGUCUCCCAGAGCCAACCAAACCGAUAGAGGAUGACAUUCUAAGGGGGGGGGGGGCUUAGUUGGAGUCUUGCUCGUUGUCAAAGGUGUACCCUUCGAAGGUGUUGAACGAGACGAGCUAGUUUUACUCUUGGGAGCAGUACACUACUUACUAGCAUACUCACGCCAAGAAGGAUUCCAGUCGUCUGUCUUUUUGGAACGAGGUCUGCCUUUAGGAGCAUCAUCAACCUUAGGCUCUUUCACACCCUUAUACUAGGGCUAGAAUUGAGACCAAACCAAUCUAGCUUUCGGUCAUGCAACAACUCGAAAUUUCAGAUUUUCGAAAAUCAGUUAAACUCGAAAAUUCUACCGAUUUCAAAAAAAUGAAAAAGCAAGCAAACAACAAGUUCAAGCACAAAAUAAGAAUCCACGGAAUGUAUAGACAAUAUUCCAUUCACAAUGUUCACAACAAUUCUACCCAAUCGGCCCAAAUUCUAAAAAAUAAAAAUUUCGACCUAAAAAAUCGAAAUUUGGGAGAAAUCGAAAUUGAAGGUUGGAGGCCGGAGGUGGGCUGUCCUGGAGUUGAGGAAGACCUUUGGAAAGUGUUGUGGAGGAGAGAGGGAGAGGCGGAGGAUGGUGGUUGAAGGAGAAGGAGGAGGUGGGUGGGUGGUGGUUGAGGAGAUGAGAAAAGGAAGAGGGAGGUCGUGCGGUGGGUUUUGAAGGAGGAGGAGAGAAAUAUUACGAGGAGGAAGAAUGGAAGGAGGAAGAAGAUAUAAGGAGGUGGGUUUCGCCAUUUACUAUUUUUCAAAUUUGUUAUGCACGGCGCACAUGCCAGUUUCCGUCGAUGUUAUUUUCACAAAUUGGCAAUGCACGACAUGCACUGGUGCAUGACGUGCAUGCCUUUUUUCUAUGAAGGCUAAUUCACAAAAUGGCUAUGCACAUCAUGCAAGCCAUUUUACUACGAAGGUAUUAAAACAAUCUAGCUAUGCGCUGCAUAUGCAUGCUAGAUUUAAAGCAACAUUUUACAUCAACCAUCAACAACACCCAUCAAACACAAACACUUAACAAUCGCAGCUCCCUAGCAUUCAAUACUCAUCUAGUACACGAUCAGAUGACUUAAGAGUUGACUCACAAGACUCACACAAAACAAACACUAAAUGACACAUAAAUCACAAUCUUCGGUCUUUUAUUCUUUAUGCUAACUAUGGAUACACAAGGGGUGCCUCCCAAGAGUGCUUCUUUAUCGUCUUUAUCUAGACGUCCUCUCACAAAUAAUUCAAAGUGAGAAACAAUCAACCUCGUCGAAAACACCUACGCUGUCGCUAGCUCGGUAGAGUUUCAAACGGUGACCGUUCACUUUGAAAGGUUCGGGGAGGAUGAUGAUGUUUCCUCGAUGGUCCCAUAAGGGAAAACCUUGGUGACGGUGAACGGACGACUCAAUCGGGACAUGAGCUUCCCAGGAAACAUCUUGAAGCGUGAGUUGAAGAGAAGGACGAUGUCGACUUCCUUGUGUUCUUUGAUUGUCCUCAAGCGGGAGUCAUGAUACUUCUUGGUCCACUCGUUGUAUAUCCUAGAGCUCUCAUGGGCAUGGUUCAUCUGCGACACUAGCAUCCAUGUUGAGAAACUUUAAAGCCCAGUAAGCUCGAUGCUCAAGUUCUACCGGUAGAUGGCAAGACAUGCCAAAGAAGAGUCUAUAGGGACUGGUCCCUAUAGGUGUCUUAUACGCGGUGCGAUAAGCCCAUAUAGCGUCAUUGAGCUUACUCGGCCAAUCUUUAUGCGAUUGGUCGACGGACUUUUGAAAAAAAUCGUUUAAGAUCUCGGUUUGUCUCCUCAGUCUGCCCACUAGUCUGCGAGUGAUAGGCGAUAGAAAACCAGUGUCAGACACCAAUGCGGUGGCACACCAGGUCGAAUUGACCCUGAAAGUGGGCCCCCCUAUCGCUAAUGAUAGCACGAGGUGUCCCAAACCGAGAAAAAGUUUGAUCAUGAAUUUUCCAACAUUUAUACCAUCAUUAGUGGGGAGAGCUAUGACGUUUGCCCACUUGAAAACACAAUCCACUACCACGAGGGUAUAUUUGAAGCCAUUAAACAGAGAAAAUGGUCCCAUGAAAUCUAUCCCCCAGACAUCAAAGAUCUCACAAACGAGGUUGAUAUUUUGCGAGAUCUCAUCGAGAUGAGAGAUGUUUCCAUAUCUUUGAGAUCUAUCACAAGACUUCACAAAAUCAAAGAUAUCUUUAGAAACAUUAGGCCAGAAGAAACCAGAAUCAAAUACCUUCCAGGUGGUGCAGUUAGCACCAAGAUGUCCUCCAGUUUGUCCUGUGUGGCACUGCUUAAGGAUAGCUGGAGUCUCACUAUAAGGUACACAUUGUCGAAUCAACUGAUCCACACCUAUGCGAAAUAGGUAUGGAUCAUCCCAGAAGUAGUUCUUCAUGUCAGUCAGAUUCUUCCAUCUUUCUUGAGGGGUGACGUCCUUUGGGAAGGACCCACUAGCGAGAUAAUUGGCAAUGUCAGCGAACCAUGGCCCUUCUACUUCUUGGGCAACGACUAGAUAGAGCUUCUCAUUCGUGAAGAAUUCUUGAAUGGGAAUCCCAUCCGACUUUUGUAAUUCUUCUUCCAUCAAGUGGGAGAGAUGAUCUGUAGCCACGUUCUCAGAACCCUUUUUAUCUUUGAUUUUAAGGUUGAACUCUUGCAACAGGAGUAUCCACCGUAGAAGUCGCUGCUUUGCAUCUUGUUUGCUCAUCAAAUAUCUUAUAGCCACAUGGUUAGUGAAAACCACGGUGUGAGAUAGCACCCAGUAGGAUAUGAACUUGUUAAUUGCAAACACCGUGGCUAACAACUCCUUCUCUAUGGUAGUGUAUUUAUUCUAGGCAUAAUUCAGUGAUGUCCUCGCAUUGCAGAUAGAGUGAAAACGGUUACCCUUCCAUUGUCCCAAUACAGCUCCCAAGGUGAAGUAACUGGCAUUGCACAUCAGCUGAAAUGGAAGCGACCAAUCUAGAGUUGUGAGGAUUGGCGAGCUUGUGAGCUUUUCCUUGAACAGCUCAAAAGAACGCUUGCAAUCUGUGGUGAAUGUGAAUGAAACAUCAUUAUGAAGGAGGAGGUGCCAACGUGUAGCGAUCUUGGAGAAAUCCUUGAUGAAUCGGUGGUAAAACCCCACAUGGCCUAGACGGCUUCAAACACCCUUGACUGUUGAAGGAAGUGGAAGAUUAGCUAUCGUCUCGAGCUUUGCUUUGUGAUCCCCAAAAUAUUAGUGAAGUUAUCUCGACAACACAAGUGUCGCAUGUGUCCAAGGUACCUAUUUUUAUGCUUAUACUCGAACUUAGCUACACGGUCUAGACUAAACAACUUGAGAAUGGUUUCCAAUUAUAUAUACUACUAAUUCGUUUAAAUACUAAUAAUUAAAACUUAGAAAUGGGUUUGAACAAAAGGAGAAGACAAGUUCUUGGAAGGGUUUGAUCAAACUUAACUUCCUAUCAGUAUAGGUUUCGAAUGUUAUAACUCCUCUUAUCACUUGUAUGAAUCGACGACACGAUUAUGCACGUGGAUUACCACUACUAGCUUCCCAAUCAAAGUUAGAAUCACCUCAAUUAGGGUAACUAGUAAUGAAGACCGAGAAGUUCUACAAAGUGAUAAGGUGCUCUCUUUGAAUUAAUAGAACUCACAAGCAAUUGGAAAUGGUGCUUACUUGAUCCAUCAACACCUAAGCUACUGAUAACCACACCCAACUUUCUCCAGUGGAUGCAAACCAGAGAGGCCCCAAUUACUCGAUGAAGAACCGUUAAAACCAAAAGAAACACAAAAGAUAGAAUUGAGCUAUUGGCUUGGUCCAUCGAAUAACUUUCUUCUAUGUUAGAUUUAUAAUCAUAUGAAUUUAAGGGUUUGAUCAAACAAAUGAAUCCAAAGAUUUGACCUAAUUCGAGUCGUAACACGAACAAGGUUGAAAACCAAACAAUCAGUCUUUUAUUGAAUUCCAAAUAUCGAACAAUCCUCGGCCCUAUACUUUUAGGGAGAGUAUAAUAGCUCAAUUCCUACAUCCCAACCAAUACACUCUAAAAAUUUUGCCACUAAUAACUCUAGAAGAAGAAAAAACAGAAAAAGACCUAACCACCAUCUUGUUGAAGCGAUAAUGAACCAUACUCGCUAUAAUCUUCACUUUUAGCCUUCUAGCUUCAAUCCUAGCUUCUAUCUUUAAUGGAAACUCCUUUCGAUUGUCAAUCGAACUUCUAUAGAUGAAGGUAUGAUGGUUUUUGCAGAGGAAACUCAGGAAAAAAUCGCUGGGAAUUGUUGAAGGUAUGACAGUUUAUAUGACAACUACUGGAACAGAAAGGUGCACGUUGUGCACCCCUUUUUCCUACGAGGCCAUCUUAAGUUUUAGGGCAUGCACGGUGUGCAAAACUUUUUGCCGUGAGCGUCUUCAAUUUAAGGGCAUGCACGGCGUGUGGCCCUUCUUCUUCACAAAUUAUUACAUCUUCCAUCUCUUCGAGCGCCAACCAUGCUCUAAUCCAUGUCUCUAAAGUACCCGCAGAUAACAUAUACUACAAAUAAACACAUCAAAUGGACUGAAACCUUUCCUUAAAUCGCUCCUUUUUAUAUGGAAACUGUUGGAACAGGGAGGGGCACGUCGUGCAUGUACGCAAGCUGUGCAUCCCUUUUUUCCUACAAGGCUAUUUCAAGUUUUAGGGCAUGCAUGGAUGUACAACAUGCAAACGUUCUUGCAGUGAGCUAUUUUAAAUUCAAGGGAUGCACGGUGUGCAUAGAUGCACGGAGUGUAGACCUUCUUCUUCAUUAAUUCUUGCAUCGCCAUUCCAUUCGAGCUCCAAUCGGGCUCUAAUCCGCAUCCUUAGCCUCGUAGCCAGACCACCUAUCUCUAAAGUACCCGUGGAUAACAAAUACUACAAAGAAACACAUCUAGGAUCGAUAAGGUCCAAGUGAAUGGGUCUGUGCAUACAAUGCCAAGACGUAAAACCACACGGAACUGAACCACAAAUGAGCUAGUAUUCGCUCAAAAAGCAUGUAGAUAGGGAGAGAUAAUCACUACAAAUCGAGCAUUAUAAUUAUGUUUUUCUUUGUCUUCUUUUCUCCUAGAAAUAUGAGUACCUAAAUCUUUAGAGUUUUUGGUUGGAAUGAAAUAAUUGAGCUAUGAUACUCUCCCCAAAAAUAUAGGGUCAGCGAUUGUUGGAUAUUUGGAAUUGAAUAAGACACUGCUUUGAUUGUUAUUUUUCAACCUUAUUCUUGUUACUUCUUGAAUUAUAUCAAAUCUAUGAAAUCCAUGUUAGUCUUCCAAAUAUCCCUAAAUUUACUCUUUGUUAGGUCAAAUCUAUGAAAUUCUUUGUUUCAAUUUCCCACAAAUUUCGGUUAGUCUUUCGAUUUUUAGGUCAAAAUUUUGACAUUUCAGAAUUUGAACCGAUUGGGUAGAAAUUAAGAUGAAAUUUGUGAAUGAUAUUGUCUAUCAAUGCCUUGGAUGCUUAUUGUGUGCUCGAACUUGUUUUUUGCUUGAUUUUUCUUUUGAUCAAAAUCGAUAGAAUUUUUUAGUUUAGCCGUUUUCAAAAAAUCUGAAAUUUCUUCUUGUUGUUGUUGUUCAGGGGUUUAAUAUGAUUGUUUGGUGUCUUGAUUAUGCCUCUGCCCUGCUUUUUUAUUAGACUCAUUUUCUUCAUUUGAAUUUGCAUAUUCGACAAAAUUUGUGGAACCCGAAAUUUUGCCAAUUUAUGUGAAUAUUAACUUGUGACCUGUUCUUGUUGUUAGUUUUGUGCCCCUUGUGAUUCAAUGCCAGAUAUAAUGCUUAUGAUUGUUGUUGGAUGAGAAUCCUGAUCUUGUCUGAAUUUUUGAUUUAAUUGAAAUCUUUGAAGCGUUGAGUUAGUUGAUUUUGUGAUUCUUGGAAGCAUUAGUUGUUCUCCCUAAUUUGAUAUUGAUCUCCUUCUUGCUAUGAUAGCUGGAAUAUGCCCCUCUAGAGGUUGAUUAGAAUUGAUUUGGAAAAAUUACUAGCUAAGAUUGAAGUUUGCAUAUUCUUGGAUGCUCAUUAUGAUUUGAUUGCUCUUCACUUGUGAUAGGAUGAUAUUUGUUCUUUCUUCGGAUUACCUAGUUUUUCGUGUAUAUUGGUUAAAGUUAUUCAUUAAGCUAGGUUGUGCCAUGACUUGUUGGUCGUUCUAUAUUUCGUGAGGACGCGAACAUUCUAAGAGUGGGGGAAAUUGAUUCUUGAUCGAUUGAUUGCUUUGUGAUAUUGUUGGUGUUAACAAAUAUGCAAUGUUGUUUCCAAAUAGUAUGUGUUGAUAGAUUUGCAGGAUGUCUAGAGAAAAGUCUUCCUCAAAGGACGGAGGGAAGAAGACUGGUACUGGAAAGAGGAUGCGACCAAACUCUACCCAAUAGCCUCCUUCUCUAGAGACUUCUCCACCACCAUCUCCACCUCCCGCAGCUGGUCCACGACGCAAUACAGCUUCACCAGACUUCCACUGCUGCACAGGGUCCACCAUCAGAGGCCGCUCCAGCUGCAGCUUCAGCAUUACCACCUCCAGACUUGGUUCAGAGGAUCUUCAGCUUUCUAGAGGAGAGCGAGUUUGCCCAUCGAUAUGGAGUGUAUCGGACUUUGAUAGUGGACCACAUGGGUGCAUCAAUCUGCAGAACUUCGUGGAUAAAGGAUGGGGAAAUCUUAUGAUACAGUACUGCGCCCAGGCAGGUAUCUGGGAGAUGGUACAUGUGGACAACUUGGAGCUCCCACAUUCGACCAGGGAGUUUUAAUCCACCUUGAAGAUCCCAAAUACACUUCUACUAGAGAGGCGGGCAGUAUCACAUUUUGACUUGGGGUCAGGGUUUCUCCUUCUUGGUAGAUCAGUUGGGAGAGCAUAUGGGUUUCUACACCCGCGAUCAUGUGGCCAACUUGGAGCUAAUGUCGUUGGCCACCAUAGAGAGGAACUCAACUCUAAACCCGAAGGUGUUCUGGUAGACUAUCUCGGUGCGAGGUAGCUAAUCCUAGUCAAAGAACCAAAUAAAUAUCCCAAGGUAUAACUUUAGAGUCUAUUUCUCAGGGGUCUACUUGGUCUUCACUACUCAGCCUUGGUUCGCUUGUCAGUCAUUGACAAUUUGAGAAGUUUUUACUAGACUAGAAUGAAGCGAAACAAGAAACUAAAAGAAACAGGAAAUCUAGGAUGCAAAUAGGUCACUCGAUGGCUACGGAUAAAACUAAGGUGAGAACGAUAAUGGGGAAAAGGCCUUGUUUGGGUUUUGGAUCAUCCUAAGAACUAUGAGAAAUUGUAUCACAGUAGAAUAGACGGGGCAUAGAUGAUAACACGUUUUGGGUCCUAUAGAUCGGGUCUAUCAACAACGAUCUAGAAUGACCUGCAACACUUACAAACAUCCGCUCAACAAACAACUCAAUAAUCAAUCUCACAAGUAAACCGAAAACAGGAAGGGUGAGAAAACUGCGAAUCGAGUGGAAAUGAGAUAAUCGAAGCAACAAGAUAGCAAAAAAUAUCAUCAAUCAUCAUGCAUCCACAAUCCUAUCACUACAUACUAGAAAAAUCCCAUAAAUCCAAAGGAAUCCACAAAACCCAAACAAGAAGAAAACCUAGCUCUCCAUGGAAGCUGCAAAAAAUGCUACAAACCAUCAUUCCAUCAAAGUAGAAGGUAGAUCCUCUGUUGGGCUUCGAUUCCUUGCUAUUCGCUUCAAAUCUUCAUUCCCAUAGUGUUCCUAGGCUCCCAAGUAGUUCCUCCUUCAUCAAUUUGUGUUUUAGUUCAUGUCCAUGGCUCUCCUCUCCCAAAAAUCUCGAAUUGGGGGAUAAAAUAAGGUUUCAACCAGACUUGGCAUCACGGCUAUGACAACAUGUGUCACGGCCUUUACAGGUUGUGUCACGGCCUUGUCUCUUCAACAGCAGCAACACCCGACUUCUUUUGGCCAUAACUUCUUCAUUUGGACUUUGAUUUUGCCUUGGAAAGUACCAUCAGUUUUGUAGUGGAACACUCUAUCCAACGGCUACUUGCACUCAAGGAAAACACUUCAAAAAAUGUGAAACUGACCGAGAUAGUCUACUCAAGAGGAAACGAGCACGAAAUGCAACUCUGAUGAAACUGGAUGCUUCUAAAAAUAAAAUAUCGCCAAACCGGAGCAAAAACUAGUCAAGAUGGGGUGAAAACGGCUGCCAAUAAUCAUUCUAUCGGUAGCCCCUUUUUUGCUCGUGCGACAAAGUUGAAGGUGAUUAAUAAGCCUCUGCUGAGGCUUUUUCACUUGCUGCUAAGGUGUGCCAUCACCGCUAGGAGACAGUCUAGCAAUAGGGGAGUAGUAAGUGCCACGGACUUGUGGCUCUUCUACUGCCUCAAGUAUGAUGUGAAAGUGCACCUUAGCGAUUUAAUAGUUAGGUUGUUCAAGUGUGUCAUCAAACUGAGAGUUUCGGGAGUUCUGUAUGGAGGGAGCUACAUCACAUGGCUGGUACGACAACUUGGGGUGUCAGGCACUUUUGGAGAGGACCCGCUGCUCCAACACGAGUACCCUAUCACUGUUCGGGUUCUUUGGGAGCAUGGAGUUCCCAAUUUACUAGCUGAUUUUGUUUUAGAGGGAUCAGAUUUACCAUAGCAGGAUGGGAAAGACUAACCUCCAGAGUUAGUUGAGACGCUUACAGCCUGUAUGGGCCAUUUGCAAGAUGACCAUGGGUGAUAUUCAGGACACUUAGAGAAGACUCCGACAUAUUUUCAGAGCUUGCAUAAAGAUAGUAGGGAGCGAGGUGCGAGGUCUUCACCAUGACUUCCAGCAGUACGCCACUAAAAGUAGAGACGCUUGGGCCUUGGGAAUCGAAGAGCUGGGCAAUUUUAGUAGACUCAAGCUCAGAACGGAUAAUGGAUACUGCAGCAGGGUGAGCAGAUCACCUACAUUCAUCAGCAUCACUGGUAAAGUGGCCACAUGUCCUAUUAUUAGGACAUCUACUUCACUGGAGCGUCGUAUCCCCCUUCGUAGCCAGCUUUUCCGGCAUCACCUCAAUGGUUAGAGUACGAUCCACACCAACAGUUCCCGGGUAUCCUUAUCCUCCGCCAGAUCAAUCAUAAUUCGGGACGUUUUAGUGACGCAGACUCGUCUGUUUUUUUCCUUCAUUUGAGACUUUAUGAUUAUUCUUUUUCUUGAUUUUUCUUGUUGGCCUGUAUAACAGAGGACAACACUUGUUACAUUUAUCACUAGUACGUUGUUUGUGUUAUGGUUGGCUGAUCUCAAAAUGGUUCUUCUAUCACAUCUCACCACCAAACUCCAUAUCAUCAACUCACUUCGGUAUCAACUUAUCUCUUCUCUUAUAUGACAUCUUUUGGGGUAAUGUUGUGGAUUUCUCGGAUGAAUUAGGGUGCUAGUUAAAUCACUUGUGCUUUAAUUGAACCCUUGUUGCUCAACAUUUGAAAUUCCCUCUUAAACUUGAAAACUUUGGAUGUCAUGGAUGCAUGUUUAGCGUAGUAUUUCUACAUGAGUGUGAAUAGGAUGCAUGAUAAAUCAUUUUGGGUCCGCCUCCCAUUUUUCUCAAAAUGAGUUUAGAAGAGAUUUAUGCACUUGGUUACUCGGUCUUGAUGUCUACCAACUUUGUGAACAAUUAAUUCCCCUAUCGAAUUGCUCUAGUUGUUUAAACUCAUGUGUGACUAGACGAUCUGAAUAAGGUGUAAAAGAGGCCAAUGUGCCCAAAUUGUCGUGGGAAUUCGGUUGCGUUUCAAUACACUUGGAGACCUUGAGUCUGCCGCCUGUAAGCUCAUCUCUUUAGGCUUCUCUUCUCACCUCUUCCUAGUUGUGGGUCGGCAUUUUUGGGUAAACUUGGUUUAUAUGGAUGAGAGCCUUAAUCCGAUCAGGGUUGUAACUACCCCCAUUUGGAAUGAUACCCCAAAACCUAUACAAAUUUUUUACAGAUGGGUUUGCAAGUAUUGUGUAAUUCAAUUAACCCAAAGUGUUAAGCAUAACAUCUAUAUAAAAACUAUAAAACAAGAGGGGAGUGCUCUGAAUUGGAUAUAUUUUUGAAGUAAGCACUUUCUCCCGUAGGACGGGAAAAAGACCCGGCCAGGACCAUCUAUUUUGAGCAUAAGUUAUAGGGGGAUGUCGUUUGUCUAUAGAUGUUGAGUGGUAAUAACUAUAUUUAUAAGUUUUUUCUUUAUUUGGAUUAGAAGACUUGGUAAAUUUAACUGUGUGGUUUGGUGAUAUAAAGUUUAUUCUUGGCACCAUGAAGUAGGCAUGAACUGUUAAGCAUGUUAUUCUGCUCUCAACAUGUUUCGAGUUUGUUUAGAGUGUGAAUAGUAAAGUUGCUUGAGGACAAGCAAUGUUCAAGUGUAGGGGGGAUUUGACGGUGCUCGGAUUUGUAGUGAUUUAUGAUGAACGGUUUUUACUCGUCCCAAAAUAAACCUAGUUAACGAAUUAACUAGAGUCGAAUCUCCCUAGGGUCUCUUUUAGUAUCUUACUCAAAGUUGAAAUUAAUAUUAAUCGAGGUAUCAAUGAAUAUUGUUUAGGUGUCACGAGGAUCAAACAGUCAAAAUGAGAAAUGAAAAUUGCUUUAAAGUAAACGGGGUUGCAAGACAACAUGAUACGAGGUUGUAGAGAAACAAAGAUGAAACUUCUUAGAUGUCGAAUCCCCCUUGGCAAUUCUAAUUCACAAAUCACGGACAAAUUCCUUGAUUUGAAUGAAACAAGAUAGAUGCAUUACACUAUCACAAUUAUUCUCUAAUUAAAUCACAGCCUUUUGGGCCGCUAAUUUGCUACCUAUCUAGUAUUCUAGUCCGCUCUUUCGAGACAAAGAUCUACAACCCGCUAGGUGAUUUACCGAUUUAGAAUUUCUCACACGAUAGAACAGUUCAUUUGCUCCCGAAUGGGGGUUAACGACUAACCUAGUUAUUUGAUUUCAGUGUUCUAGAUAUGCCAGCUCUCGCGAUACUAAGACAAAUCUAAUAGAGAUUCAUUCAAGUUGAUCAGGCAAGAACAAAUAAAAAACGAAAUCAAAUAUGCAAAGAAAUCGAUCCAGCUCGUAUAAAACAUCAAACAUAUCAAAUCAUUCAUUCAUAGGAAUUAAUCUAGGAUUCAUCUCAUCUAAGCAUGAGAGGUUUGGCUGCUCAUAAUCUUGAGAGACAAAUCAGAAGAGGAAGACAUUGAAUCUAGGUUUACACAAAGAAUUAUGAAAAACCUAAUUUCGAUGAUCUUCCCAAAAACUUGAUUCGCAGUUUUGAUUAUUUCUCCGAUUCCGAGCUCGUGGAAGUUGAUGCCUUCUCCUCGCUUUAAAUCUCUCGAUAAAUCUCUCAAUUUCAUCCAAGAAAGUCUAACUGAAAAAGAAGUCUAAUUGCACUUUUAUAGAGGCUCUUCCUUUGGGGCUGUCGGAUACCAAAAGUGUGCCGCCAGUUUUGGUUUUUCUUCAGCGCACUUUCGGUCUAAAUGUCAGAGACCUGAAGUUCGAUGAAAUACUAAAAGUGCUUUUUAACACACCAAAAGUGUGCUGCGCACUUUGGGUAUAGGUUAGGCGCAUUUUUUGUUUCAAAGCCGACUCGGGUUUUGUUUUCAUUCGUCGAUGCAUCCAGCUCCUCCUUACAUAUCAUACAGCUCUAAAUACUACCUAGAUAUCAUCAUAUUCCUGGAAUCCAUGAAAAACACUUCAAAACAACAUUAAAUGGACCCUAAACGGGUCCGAGACACUAAAUCGAGAUAGAUGUUAUAAAUGCACGAAACAUCCUAAACUUCUGCUUAGAAAUAUACGAAUAUGCAGGAAAUGUUGCUUAAACAAGGGAGAUGAACACAACAAAUUGAGUUUCAUCAAUUAUCUUUUUAUCCGCAUGCUUUUUGAGUAAAUACUAGCUCAUUUGUGUUUCAAGGAUCCAUGUGGUUUUACGUCUUGGCAUUUUAUGCCUAGACCCAUUCAUUUGAACUUUUUUGGUCUAUUUGAUGUGUUUCUUUAUAGUAUUUUUCAUCCACGUGUACUUUAGAGACAGGUGUUCUGGCUACAAGGUUAAGGACACAGAUUAGAGCACGGUUGGACCUCAAAUGGAAUGACGAUGCAAGAAUUGGUGAAAAGAAAGGAUGCAUGUCGUGCAUCAAUGCACACCGUGCAUGCCCUAAAUUUCAAAUAGCUCACGGUGGAAAAAAAACAUGUUGGAGAAGGAAAAGGACUUGAAAACCCGUCUGGGGGUGGGACACGGCGUGCUCCAUAUGGAACACGCCGUGUUCCAUGAAUACGGCCGUGUUCCUGGCCGUGUUCGGCCCCUGUAACUUUCUCGAGCAAUUUCAGCGGAGGAACACGCCGUGUUCCUUCAUUAUACGGAAUUUGACCAUAGUGUCAACAUCAAAGUUGUAGAAAAUCGAAUUAUCUUUCCAACGCCGCUGACCUUGCAUCAAUUGGACUUCGGAGCGAUGAGUUAUGCUCAAAAUACUAAACAGUGACGCUUUCUUCCAAAGUCGAACGCUUUGAAUUGUUCCAGCCUCCCCAUCAUGUCUUUGUUUAUCUCCAAACGUCAUAUGACACCUGAAAUAUACCAAGAACAUACCAAACACCAUAAUACCGCCCUGAGGAACAAGAGAACCAAAUAUGUACUCAAAACUCAAAUUUAAAUACAUUUCGACACACAAAAAUAUAGUUUAUACAUCACAUCACCUAUCAAAUAUCAAAUUCGUUGAACCUUUCAUAAUUCUGACCUGAUUAGCUGCCAAAGACAAAUGCAAAUCGAAGCAUAGAUAUUGUCCUUUUUGGAGAACCUCAAAUGAAAAAACAAAAAAGAGGAGUACCUAAAAAAAAAUAGGAGGCCCAGCUAAAAUGCCUCGUUCCCUGCCACGUGUUCACCAAAACAUCGACUUGUUUCAUUACAAACAGCACCACGUAUUGCUUGUGGAUGGGAUCUACGUGUCCGGAUCCUUCCUGCAUGUAUAUCCUGCAACACCAAUGAAUAUAAACUACGCAACCCCAUCAUCUAAUCUCCAAUUAACUCUCGGUUUAUCAAAACCUAGAAAUCCUAGCUAGAGAUCGAGAAAAAGAAUUAGCAACAAAUUAAAUAAAAGAGGAGGAGAUCAUGAGCCAGCACCAACAGCCACAAAGGCCGCAAGACCCAGUAAAUUAUGGGGAUCUCUUCCAGGACGUGCAGGGUGAGCUGGCGGAGAAGACGGUGGCCCCUAGAGACGCCGCCAUGAUGCAAACUGCCGAGAAUAAGUUGACCGGCAAUAUCAAGAAGGGCGGUGCGGCUGCCGUUAUGCAAUCGGCCGCUGACAAGAACGAAAGGGCUGGGUUUGUCAGCCAUGAUGAUGUUAGCCAUGUCGCCGACGACCUAGGUAUUAGCGCUACCGAGAUUGAUUUCCCUGCCGGCGGAAGCGUCAUCACCGAAUCUGUCGGCGGACAGGUAUGUACGUAACGUAGGACAUCAUUACAUGAAAUGAUAAAAGCAACGUUGACCCCAUCCACUAUUUUCUCACCGUUGAAUAUAUAUUUGAUAUUAAAUGAAAUAAGUUGGUUGUCAAUGUUUGAGAUGUGAUAUUCACACAUUAGAAAUAAGUUGAAUUAAAUUCUCAUAAUUUAAUAAAUUACAUUAAAGUUUCCACAUAUAUCUUAAUUAAUUUAUUCUAAUUAGAUAGAUUUUAUUAAAAUGGGGAUAUAUCUGUCAUUUAAUUAUAAUUAGUAAACAUUUUGUGAAAUUGAUGUCGAACAUUUCACUUUAAUUUUUCGGAACUGCUAGUUUCAUUUUGGUAGAGUUUAAAAUUUCGAAUUCAAAAUGAAUUCCUUCAUACCCCAAAUCUGAUAAAAUUCAAUUUAAAAUAAAUUUCAUAAAUUUUUGACCGAUUUAUUUAUACCCAUCGGGAUGUUAACUACCUCAAAUCCUCAUCACCUCAUCACCUCAUCUGUCGAGUUCUCUGUCAAACAAAUAAAAAAAUCGAUCGACCCUUAGCUACGUAUUGCUGCGCCGUCUAAAUUACUUUUGGUUGAACGUUGCGUUUCGUUUCUGAUGUUUUUGUUUGCGCGCGUGUGUGUAAAGGUUGUUGGGAAGUUUGACAAGGUGGAAUCAAAGGUGCCGGCGACUCAGCAGGGCGGUGGAGCGGUGAUGAUAGGGGAAGCGUUGGAAGCAGCGGUGCUAACGGCAGGGAAGAAGCCAGUAGAGAGAAGCGACGCGGCAGCCAUUCAAGCAGCGGAGGUUAGAGCAACGAGCCGCACCACCAUCGUUCCUGGAGGGAUAGCCGCCGCAGCUCAGUCGGCAGCCAUUCUCAACGCUAGGGCUACAACUGACGAGGAGAAAACUACUCUCGCCGAUGUGCUCUCUGUAAGCAUGCAUUCAUCAUUAAUUAGAUUUAUUUCUCAUAAGAAUGGAACGUCUGGUGAAGCUAGGGACAUUGCUCCCUGAAUACGAUCCCACAAUCUGGAUCCUUGGAUCUUCACUUGAUCUACUGAUUUACUGGCGACAUUGCUUCCCAGAUCUAAUCCCGCAAUCUGAAUUCUUAGAAUAAUCGGUAAAGAUUAAAGACACGAUUUUUGGAUGGCUGAAAUUUCUGCAGCUUUCUGAUUUGGAUUCAAAAGCCAUUUGGUCUGGUUUAAUUUUGUUUAUGAUGUGGCAGGACGCAAAAGAAAAGCUGCCGGCAGACAGGGCGGCGACGAGGAAGGAUGCCGAGGGGGUGGCGGGUGCUGAAAUGAGGAACGAUCCUUAUCUGACAACUCACCCGACUGGGGUGGCCGCUUCUGUUGCCGCGGCUGCUAGGAUUAACCAACAAGCUAAUCUCCACGACGACAACGUUUAAACUAACCAUCAUCGAUCAUGAUCGAGCUUUGUUUUUAACCUUUUUUUAUGUUGAGUGAUGAUGAUAUAUAGGUAGCUGUGUAAUCUGUAAAAUGUAAAUGGCGGGGAGAUGCAUGCAUGUGUGUGUGGGGUGUGUGGUGUGUGUUUCUUUUUGUGCUUGGCAAACCAAACCAAUGUACAUUCAACUUCUCUUCAUGGUAAUCAGGAUCUUUUAUUUUGUUGAUCAUGGUAUACUAGAAACAAAGUUCUGUAUCAGAAAUAAAUAUAUAAUUUCAGUUUGAGAAACAUAAACAAUUACACAAAAUAAAUCUAUCUCUUGCCCAUACAAUUUGUAAGUGGCUGAGAACGUUUAAUAUUAUUUCCUACAGUUGAUAUGGUUUGCAACUCCUCUUAACUAAGAUUUGUUUCCAACUUCUCUUUUAUUUUGGAAAAGGUUCAAUCUUACUUCGGCCUUUUUUAUAUUUUACUAUAUUAUUGCCAGAUUUUUUAAUCAUAUUUUGAUUAUGAUCUGGAACAAAAUUUAUAUAUAAUAAUAUACUAGCUCUGAAAAAAUUACACAAAAUAGUAGAGUAAUAGAAAGAUUUGUUCGUUGAAAACAAAUUUCUUUCUUCGAGUUAUACUAGUGACUGGAGCUGUGAUUGUGUCGAUGACACUGCCUCGAAAGUAAUAUUUUUCGAGUAUAAGCACACCAAAAUAACUGGAGGUAAUCACAAGAUUUCUCAAUUGAGAUUGGAACUUAACGUAAGAACUAUGGGAUUCAUAUUGAAGGAAGAGAUGUGUUCUGUUUGAGUGUUCCUGAAUCAUGAGAGAUGGACCUAUUUAUAGGAGAGCCAUCAGCAGAUCUCCACUCUUCCAAUCUUCCUUGGAAUCAUCAUAAUCAUUGAAUAGCUUGAAGAAGUGGGGAACUGAAAAAUCCCCGAUAUCCAGCUAACAGGCUGAGAAAUCAGUUACAGGAUUUUUUUCAUAAUUCCGUUAAGAGCCGUCAGAAAUCAGUCGAUAAAUCGUUAAGUUGCAACACAGCGUUUUCCUCAACUGUAAAAAGCAACCUCAACGUUUUACAAUUUUCAUUUCACCAAGAUGGAGUUCCCCCGACUGCAUCCUGAUUGGUGAAUGAAUGGUAUGAAAAAUAUCAUCUGCGACAUCUCGUAUUACCAACUCGAAGCCACUGGAAAACGUGCCAGUAGAUUCCAAAAAGGCGACACUGCAUUUGAGCAUGUCACCCGACGGAGGAUGCCAAGCUGACAGUAAAUAGCACAGCGAGAAGGGCCAUGACGAGCAAGCUGGCGUGAAGUCUCUUCCAUCUUUUGUUUCUCACCAAACGUAACGUUGUUUCAUUGGUGCCUCUUCGUGUAUAUAUAACUAGGGAGGAAUAGAAGAUUUUCUACUCAAGAUAACUGUUAAUAUAUCAGUACUAUCAGAUUAAAAAUUCUCUGUAAUCUAACAUUUGGUAUCAUAGCAAUGAAGAUCCAUGGUUGACGUGUCACCAAAUGGCAACGACGGCAACCGUAGUUCAAACGUAAGGAUCGGAGCACAAAUAAUGGUGUUCCAAUCUAAUAUCCUCAAUUGACGGAGACGAAUUAUGGUUUGUGGGCUGUGAAGAUGAAGAUUAUAAUGCGCUCGAUGGGCGUAUGGACAGCAAUUGAAGGCGACGACCCGGUCGAAGAACAGAAGGACCAAGGAGCGCUGGCCGCCAUAUUACAAUCUGUGCCAGAUUCAGUAAUGAUGUCGAUUGCAACGAAAGAGACAGCACUGGAGGCAUGGGAAGAGAUUCGUAAGACGCGAAUCAGAGAGGAGCGUGUGAAGAAGUCUUCUAUUCAGUCAUUAAGGUGUCAGUUCGAUCGAAUGGUUAUGGAAGAUUCUGAGGAAUUUGCUGGUUUCACAAAGAAAUUUAUGGCAUAGGGAGAUAUGUCGACGAUGCCUGUAUCUGAAGUAAUUGGGCGCAUGCGAGCAUUCGAUCUGAGUUCUCGCAGUCGACAACGAGAGCGCAAAAUCGAGGGAAGUGAUCAGUUGAUGAUAGUCACUCGUGGUCAGAUCGAGCAGAUGAUCCAGAAGGGAAGAGUCUGAAGAGGGGCUGAGCAGCAAUACUUGCAAGACCACCGAUCGUAGUCAUGGAAUUAGUGGUGACAACAACAUCGUACGCAACGUUUCCGGCGAGAAGAAGCAUCGUAAGUUUGAUAAAAGUAAGUACAAAUGCUUUAAUUGCAAUAUUAUGGGACAUUAUGCCUACGAGUUUAGCAAACCAAGAAGAGAGAGGGCUCAUCUUACAGUAGAGGAAGGUGAAGAUGAUGAACCUAUGUCUCUCAUGACGAAGGCUUGUGAAGUUGUGAAUGUGGGGACUAUACCAGGCGGAAGAGUUUCCCUACACGAAGAAAGGGUAAUGCCGCAGUUGACCGGAAGUCAAGAUCUCUCCUGGUACCAAGCUUCGGGUGCAAGCAAUCACAUGACGGGAUCGAUCGGAAAGUUUGCUAAACUUGACAGAUCUAUUCGAGGAACGGUUAAGUUUGGUGAUGGCUCGUCGGUGGAGAUUUGGGGUCGUGGUUUCAUCCUUAUGAUGUGUCAAACUGGAGAGCAUCAGAUCAUGACCAAGGUAUAUUACAUACCACGUUUAAGGAGUAAUAUUAUAAGCAUGGGUCAACUAGAUGAAAAUGGCUACAAGUUUGUCGUCGAGGAUGGCGUCAUGUUCGUACAUGACCGUCAACGGAAGCGAUUGGCAAGGGUAAGAAGAGCAAAAUACCGACUAUACGUGUUAAAUGUCCUUCAAACCAAGCCGGAAAGCAAAAGAGAAAUCUAGUAUAGGGAAAUAUGGUUGUGGGGAUGCCACUGCUCGAUCAAGUGGAGAGGAUUUGUGAAGGGUGUAUGCUGGGCAAGCAAAAGAGAAAUCCAUUCCCAUCAGAGAAGAUCUCCAACUCGUGCACGGCGAUUUAUGUGGACUUAUCUCUCCUGCUACACAUGCUGGUAUGAAGUACUUUCUCUUGUUAGUUGAUGACAUGUCUAGAUUCAUGUGGGCAAUACUAAUUAAGAGUAAAGAUGGGGCGCUUGAAGCAAUAAAGAAGGUGCAAACUGCGGCAGAGUUGGAAACAGGGCAUAAGCUCAAAGUGUUGCGGACUGGCCGAUGUGGAGAAUUUACAUCAAAUGACUUCACCAAGUAUUGUGACGAUUUAGGCAUAAAGCAUCACCUUAUGGCUCCAUACUCUCCGCAACAAAAUGGAAUUGUAGAAAGGAGAAAUCAAACUGUUACCGGAAUGGAGAGAAAUUUGUUGUAAAGCAUGGAAGCACCGACGAAAUUCUGGGGAGAGGCAUUGAUGACAGCAGUGUACUUGCUGAACCGUGCUCCAACCAGGAGUGUGGCAGGGAUGACGCCAUAUGAGGCUUGGCACAAACGAAAGACCGAUGUACACCACCUACGUACUUUUGGUUGUGUUGCAUAUGUAAAGAAGAUUGAAAGGCAUCUCUCAAAAUUGGUGGACAGGAGCACACCAAUGGUGUUCAAUCUCGUGACAAAUAAGCUGCACGUGAUGAGAGAUGCUAUAUUCGAUGAAGGUCGGAAGUGGAAAUAGACCGAGAAAUACGAAGAAACGGUCCCUGGCAAAAGCGCCAAUUUGACGCGCGGAUUUUCACCCGCCAAUCAAAUACCCACUAGAUUGCUCUAAUGGAAUCGUUUAUUUUCCUAGGGUCUUUCUAACGAUAUUACUCAAAUCGAUUAUGCUAACUAAACCAAGUAACAGUGAACGAUUAUUUGUUUGAUUGUUUAUGUAUCCAAUUAUAAACUAAUGACUGAAAUAAAAUAAAUCAAAAUGCAAGAAAUCGAGUUUCAAAGAUAAAAUGAAGGUUGUUCGGACUCGCAUCCACAAUAGCUAGGAAUGCAUGGAAGAACGAUAUGCAAUCUCAAUUAUUCAAGUUAUAGUAGCUUGGCGAUUUCCUACGAUAGUCUUAGAUCACUCUCGCGCCUCUAAGGAUCUAUUNNNNNNNNNNNNNNNNNNNNNNNNNNNNNNNNNNNNNNNNNNNNNNNNNNNNNNNNNNNNNNNNNNNNNNNNNUGUUCGAUGAAAUGCCACAACGAUAAACGUGCAAAGAGCCUAAACGAUUCGCUCCUCUCUCGAGCUAACGAAUAAUCUAGGGUUCUUCCUAAGCGACCUAUCAAUCUAUGUUCCUCUAGGACCCAUAAAUCAAUGACGACGAUUCAAUCAAGUUAAUCAGACGAGAAUGAAUAUGAAAUUAGGUUUAGAAAGAACACACGAUAAUCCUAAAUAACAUCGAAGCAAUAUCAAAGGUUUAGAAACCCAUCAUCCAUACAAAAGCUAAGCUAGAGUUUCAUCUAAUCCAAACAAUACAAAGAGUUUAGCCGCUCAUGGUUUCGGAAAAUUAAUCAUAAGAGAAGAGAAGAAAACUGGAGAAGACGAUAUGUUCUUCGUGGAAAUCCCAAUCUUCGACUUGAUGAUUCGCCCUUCGCCAAUUGUGGUUGAUCCUCUCGCUUCAAUCGUCUCUCGGGAACCCUUUCUCUCUUCAAGAGCUCGAAAUAUGUGUAUAAUGAAGUACCUCUCGUCCAUAGGGGGUUUCGGGGGUAUUUAUAGGCUUCUAGGCCAAGUUGGAGAAGGAAAAGGACUUAAAUACCUUUCUGGGGUGGUACACGCCAUGUUCCCGGUCGUUCCCCCCCCCCCCUUAAGUUUCUCGAGCAAUUCCAGAGGAGGGACAUGUCGUGUUCCUUAAUUAUACAUAAUUUGACCAUAGUGGCAACAUAAAAGUUGUAGAGUCGAAUUAUCUUUCCAAUGUCGCUGACCUCAGUGACGGUUUCUUCCCAAAUUAAACGUUUUGAGUUGUUCCAUCCUCUCCAUCAUGUCUUGGUUCAUCUCUAAAUGUCACAUGACACCUGAAAUGUACAAAAAUGUAUCAAACACCAUAACACGGCCCCCGGGGGGGAGAGAGAGAACCAAACAUGUACUCAAAAACCCGAAUUUGAAUACAUUUUGACACACACAAAUAUAGUUUAUAAGGAUAAAAAGUGUGUCAAAAAUACAGCACAUCAAACCACCCUACACUUAAAUGCUUGCUUGUCCUCAAAUAAAUCUAUAAAUCACUCUAUAAAGAACUCAACAUAUGGUGAUCGGAAGACAAAGCUCAGGUCCUUAAUUCUACCAUGGUGUUCAGGAAUGCAAGUCAAUCAAUAAACCACACAAUUAGGCAUGAAACACUAAAUCCCUUAAAUUAUUAUAAGAUAGACUCAUGCAGAUGAUAUAAAUGAUUUGAUACCUAACCACCAGAGUGUAUCCAUAUCCCCCAAAAACUUAUACCUUCUAGUUUCCAGCGGAAGUAACAUACCGAUGGCUCGUCCUGGCUGGAAUUUAUCUUCCGUCCUAAGGGGGUGGUGCUUCAAUUUUUAAUAGCACUCAAGUUAUGCUAGCACCUCCCUCUUGUUUUGAGUUGCUUACUCGACUAUCUAACACUAGAGAUUACUGAAAACAAAGUUCGAAUAUUGAAAUGUUGCUUCUUUUCUUUCUUUGCUCUUCUUUCUUUAUUGCUUUUUUAGAUAGCAACUUUUUCCAAAUGGGGGAAAUAAUCGCAACUUCAGCCGGACUCAGAAGUAAUCAAUCUCCGCCCCACGCCCCAAGCCUCAUAAAGGUUGGGAAGAUGGCAUACCACUAGGGCUGCCCUACGUGGUUUGGUUGCAACCAAACCCUCCGAAAAAUUUUAUUUAGCGACCUCAUUCGGACUUGUCCCGCCUGUUUUGAGCUUCAUAACAACCUAGACAAAUUCGUUGGGUGGAUACACAUACACUCUACUACAACUUAGAACAAAACAGUGGAAGGUAACGAUUCAUUUUUAACAUAUAUAUGAGUCUCUAGUGUACUAAUUUUGGCAAAAUGACAUGUGGUUCAAAAAUGACAUCCUAACAUCCAAGACAUCCUCAAAUAGAAUAAGAACAAUAAACAUGCAUUCACUAACAGCCACAAACUAAGCUUAAGAGGGAGUUUCAAAAAGUAAGGAAAGCAAUUCAACGAUACUACUCACAAGUUAGGUACUCAUCAAUUUAGAAGCACCCUAAUUCACCCCACACUUAAACAGGACAUUAUCCUCAAUCGACCAAAAACUCAAGAGAGAUAGGGCCAAAAAAUAUGGUACUAACUUGGAGAUACGAUAGUGAGCAGACGUAGAGUCUGGACGAGGAUCAAAACUCCUAUCAGCUGGUGCAUGAGAUUGAGAUAUCAUCUAGAUACGAUUAGAGUUCUACAGCCACAGAGAAACAAAAAAAACAAGAGAGGGUAGGCUAAUGCAAAUCUGUUACAUCUAAUCAUAAGAAAUAAAUGAAAAGAAAAUAGACUCACAAUAUUUCAACCACAUGACAUAAGCAAAAACAAAUAAAAGAGAAAGACUCAACACUCGGGUUGCCUCCCGAGAAGCGCUCUUUCUUUUACGUCUUUGAGCUAGACGAUACCUGAAUGAUUAUAUUGGGGCAAACCAACUCAGAACAUCUGUGAGGCUAGAGCAUCAUUGGUUUUGACAUACAACUUGUCUGCUCCACUCUGAAGCAGCCACCUUCUCUUUCCAGCAUGAAUAAGUUCCACUAUGCUAUCACCUCUAACACCAGUGACUUCAAACGGUCCAAACCACUCAUCCUUGUCGACUUCUAAAGUGAAAGUCCUAGAGUCGUUCUUUUGUUGUACUUCCUUCUUCUUUUUGGUGCCCUUCUUUGGGACACUCGUUGCUGCUUCCAUGAGUUCUUCAUCAGCUGUCGAUACCUGCACUUUUAAAGCAAUGUCUAGUGGAGCAGGAUCAUUAAUAACAGUACAAGUAAAGGCAUAAUUAAGAUCAUUCAACAGAGACCUAGCUAGUGAUGAGUUGUUGGAGGCAGGGCUAGACAUCUCAAAUGUGAUCUCAUCUUCUUCAGUCCUUAAGGCCAGUAGUCCAGUUCUCACACUAAUGAUUACAUGAGUAGUAGCUAAGAAUGGUCGACCAUGAAGGACAUGGAGUUGGGACCUACUUCAUAUCUGUACUUGCCUACUCUAACAAUGACAUUCUCAGUAAUUCCCCUAGGAUAACGGGUAGUUUGAUCAUCUAGUUGAAUAUUCAUCGUAGUGGGACAUAAAGUAGGCAAGUCAAGACGUUCAAACAAGAUGUAAGGCAUAACAAUAACACUAGCACCCAAAUCUACUAAAGCCCUAUCAAUGCGAUGAUCACCAAUAUAACAAGGUAAAGUGAAACUCCAUGGGUUGGAGCGUUUCUUCACCACUGUGGGCUCACGAUCUGUUGUCUUUGUUCUGUUUGGGGACAUUGAAGCUACUUCUUUCUUCUGCUCAGCCAUCAUCUUCAGUGGAGUCUGUUUAGGUAGAGGGCCGAGUGUCUCAUUAUGUUCUUGAUCUUCUACUCUCUCUUUCAAAAUCACGCUCUGUGUUCCUCAACCAUUGUAGCAGAUGUUGCAUCUCCUAACUUCCUCUUCUUGGAUAGAAUCUCCUUCAUAAAUUUUACAUAAUUGGGCAUCUUGACCAAAACUUCUAAUAGUGGAAUGCUCAAACUCUGGUUGUUGAUCAUGUCAAGGAACUUCUCAAAAUCCUCCUUUGUCAUCUUCUUCCUGUUCGAUGUAGCUGUGUAUGACACUCUAGGCGUAUAAGGUGAGUCGGGUGAUCUGUUUGGGACUCAAGGGCAUAACCUUCUCUUGUGUCUCCACUAGUACUGGUUUCAUCAAACUGUCACAAAGUUCCUUACCACUCCUUAGUGUAACUGCUCUUGCGAACUCAUCAUGUUUAGGAUUUGAGAUUGUAGUGCUUGGCAUCCCAUUUUUCUUGUCUGUGAUAAGGUUAUCAAGUUUUUUCUCCAAGGCCAGGCGUGUUGCCACUAUUUGAUUGAAACGAGCUUGAUUUUAUGCUUGAAUUACUGUGCUUGUGGCUAUUAAUUUCUCUAGAAGUAGGUCUGUGGAGGACUGCUAUUGUUGAGGUGGAAAACUUGGGGGUCCCUGGUUAGAUGAAUAGGUGAUUUGCCCUUUUUCACCAUAGCUCUCAUUAACAUACCCCUGCUGAUUUUGCUGUGGAAAUUGGUUAUGUUGGUAAUUGCCCCGAUUCUCGUAGUUGUUCUAGCCUUCAUGUUGGUAAUUACCUUGAGCUAUGAAGUUGUUCUGUCCUUGUUGUCCUCUUGGCUGAUAAUUAUUCUAGUUUUGUCGGCCCACUUCAUCAACCUGCUCUUGAUUCACUCCUAGCUCACAAUCUGCCAUACAGUUUAAGAUAUCAUGAUCAGUUCCUCCACAUCCUUCACAAGCAUACACAUAGGCUGGAGGUGCAUUUGCAGGCUUGUUGGAACGCUGGUUGCAUUUCUGAGCUAGCUCUAACCCUUCCAUCUUCUUAGUUAGCAACUGAUCAAGCAAUUUAGCCUGUUGAAACUCAAUAGUAGAUGAGUUUUCCUCACCUGUAACUGAUUUAGACCUCAUUUUUUGAACUUGUCCUGGACACAUUCAACUCAAUGCAACUGGAUUUGUAAGAAUAAGGGUCCUCAUCUUCUGAGCAUAGGCUCUGCAAGCUUCAAGUGCCUGAGGUGGUGUCAGAUCUGUAAGAUUUCCUGGAAUAGACAUACUGAGGUCCUUCUAUUUGUGAUAGUCCAAGCCCCUGAUGAAGGUCUUAAACUUGGUGUGCACAUCCAAGUCAUGUGAGCACAGGAACAAAGGAGACUCUGGAACCUGUGCCAAGCAUCAUAGAAAAACUCAUUAGAAUGACUUUUGAACUGAGCAAUUCUAGCCUUUAAUGCUUCUAUUCUAGAUGGAGAGAAGAAUUCCUCGAGAAACUUUGUAACCAAGCCAUCCCAAAUAGUGAAGUGCCUUGCUUGAUGCUCAUACAACCACUCAAGUGCUUCCCCUUUGAGAGAAAAUGGGAAUAGGCUGAGUUUAAGGUCGUCGAUAUGCACUCCUCUUGCUUAUUCAUCUCAGCUAGAUGAACGAAAUCCCUGAGAUGAGCAUUGGGGUCUUCAUCCGAUCCUCCAGGGAAUGCCCUUGAUUGAAUAAGAUUAGUUAGGGGCACUGGAGUUUGAUAAGCUUGAUCUCUUCUGAUUGGAGAUUCAAUGCUUGAGGUAGCUCCUCCGAGAGUAGGUCGGCCAUAGUCUCUUAAUGGCUUCCUGUCAGGAAUGAGAAGAAACUAUGCGUUAUUGUGGUUGACGUGGUUUCCAUCCUCGUGAUUGUGGUUGUCGUUGCGGUUGUGGUUGUCGUUAUGACUGUUGUUGUUGUUGUGAUGGUUGUCGUUUCAGUUGUUGUUGUGGUUUUCGUUGUUGUUAUUGUUGCCAACUUCAUUAUUGUUUAACACCUCCAUCUCAAUUUCCUCUUCUUCCUUCUCUUUGCUUGCAACUGUUGGAGGAUGGUCGAAAUAAAGCUCUAACACUAGUUUCUUGCGAGACUUGGGACCGAGAUGAGUGUAUAAAGUUGACCCCUUUUUGGCUAGUCGUUUGCCUUUUCGAGGAGAUGUUAACUCCGCAAUUUUCCCUGCACAACAAGAAACAACAAAACCGUGUAAUAUGAAAAUGUGGGAGGAGAAGUAAUGAUAAGAUGAAUGAAGGACUAUCUAACAAUCAAAUUUUCCUAGAAUUAGAAAAGGUCCCCGACAACGGCUCCAAUUUGAUGCGCGGAUUUUAUCCGCCAAUCAAGUACCCACUAGAUUGCUCUAAUGGAAUCGUUUAUUUCCCUAGGGUCUUUCUAACGCUAUUACUCAAAUUUAUUACGCUAACUAAACCAAGUAACAGUGUUUGAUUUUUUAUGUAUCGAAUUAUAAACUAAUGACUGAAAUAAUACAAAUCAAAAUGCAAGAAAUCAAGUUUCAAAGAUAAGAGGAAGGUUGUUCAGACUCGAAUCCACAAUAGCUAGCAAUGUAUGGAAGAACGAUAUGCAAUCUCAAUUAUUCAAGUUAUAAUGGCUUGGCGAUUUCCUACGAUAGUCUUAGAUCACUCUCGCGCCUCUAAGGAUCUAUUCCGCUCGAGAGUAGACUCCUCUCUCGAGCUAAUCUACACCCAAGCAGAACGCAUAAAGGGUGUUCGAUGAAAUGCCACAAUGGUAAACGAUGCAAAAAACCUAGAUUAAACACUCCUCUCUCGAGCUAACGAGUAACCUAGACUUCUUCCUAAGCGACCUAUAAAUCUAUGUUCCUCUCGGGCCCACAAAUCAAUGACGAUGAUUCAAUCAAGAUGAUCAGACGAGAAUGAAUCUGAAAUUAGGUUUAUCAAGAACACACGAUAAUCCGGAAUAACAUCGAUAUCAAUAUCAAAGGUUUAGAAACCCAUCAUCCAUACAAAAGCUAAGAUAGAGUUUCAUCUAAUCCAAACAACACAAAGAGUUUAGCCGCUCAUGGUUUCGGAAAAUAAAUCACAAAAGAAGAGAAGAAAAACCGGAGAAGAUGACAUUUUCUUCGUGGAAAUCCCAAUCUUCGACUUGAUGAUUCGCCCUUCGCCAAUUGUGGUUGAUCCUCUCGCUUCAAUCGUCUCUCAGGAACUCUUGCUCUCUCGAAGAGUUCGAAAAUAUGUGAAUAAUGAAGCAUGUCACAUCCAUAGAGGGUCUCGGGGAUAUUUAUAGGCUUAUGGACCAAGUUGGAGAAGAAAAAGUACUUAAAACCCGCCUGGGAGUUGAACACGCCGUGUUCCCGGCCGUGUUCCGCCCUUGUAAAUUUCUCGGGCAAUGCUAGAGGAGGGACACGCCGUGUUUCUUAAUUAUAUGGAAUUUGACCAUGGCGUCAACAAAAUAGUUGUAGACAUUGGAAUUAUCUUUUCAACGGCGCUGACCUUACAUCAAUUGAACUUCGGAGAGAUGAGUUAUGCUCAAAAUACGAAACAGUGACGUUUUCUUCCCAAAUCGAACGUUUUGAGUUGUUUUGGCCUCUUUGUCAUGUCUUGGUUCAUCUCUAAACGUCAAAUGUACCAAAAAUAUACCAAACACCAUAACGCGGCUCUAGGGGCAAGAGAACCAAACAUGUAGUCAAAAACCCAAAUUUGAAUACAUUUCGAGACACAAUAAUACAGUUUAUAACGAGAAAAGGUGUGUCGAAAAUACAACACAUCAGUACAUCACAUGGAUUUGAAGUCUGCUUUCUUGAACGGGGAAAUUGAAGAAGUAUAUGUGGCUCAACCUCCGGGUUUCGAAGUAAAAGGAGAGGAACACAUGCUUCUGAGAUUGCACACGGCUCUAUGUGAAUUACGUCAAGCUCCGCGAGCAUGGAAUGCGAAGUUAGACAAGACCCUAAAUACAGUUGGUUUUGUCAAAUGUCAAAGUGAGCAUGCUGGAAUAGUACGGUUGAGAUUUUAUUGGAACGAAUGCUUUUCCUAGAUCCGGAUUGCGAAGGAAUGAUACCAACUGGAAUAUUAAAACAAGACAGCUUGCGAGGGACCAUUAAUAAAAUAUGAUUUAAAAAAAGUUCACAAUUCUCAAUGCUAACCAGUACCACCACCGCAGAUAUCCACUCUAUCACCCCAUCGCCGCGGCCAUGUCUCCUAAGGCCUACCGCCAACGACCCGCACCGCUGAAUUAGGGGACUCCCUCGAGGCAGCUUCCACAACUCCCACCGACGAACGUGGCCGUCUCGACCCCACUCCCCCAUCCAAACAAAUCAGCCGUACCGCCAACUACAGGUAUGGUCGGUGAUGGACUUUCAUCGUCUAACCUGGCGACGAUAGAGAUCCGAGACUUAUCGUUGGCGGAUAGUGAUGAUGAGGAGAUCGGUGAAGCACGCAGUUCCACCGCUAUCCAACUUCCUUGGUCGGGAAAUUCUGUGGCGACAAGUACGCCAACUUCAAGGCAAUGCAGCGGACGCUGGCUCUGGCUGGGAAACCGGGUCGGUCCAUGGAAUUCUAGGAGCUCAAAGAAGGUCUCUAUCUAUUUCGUUUCCAUCAUGAGAUGGACCUCCUGAGGAUUGUCAACGACGGUCGUGGAAUUACGAUGGCUCUCUGCUAAUUCUGUAUGAGCUCGAAAUUGGAGAAGAUUCACAAAUGGUGCAUCUACACCGGGUCCCCUUUUGGCUGCAAGUUCACGAGCUUCCCUUUGAUCACUUUUCAAAGGAAGUUGGUCGCAUCAUCAGAGACUAUGCUGAAACGUUCCUGACCUACAACCCUGCUAAUAAUGUGAAGUCCUUGGCGGAUCAAUACAUGCGCAUUCAGGUGGAACUUGAUGUGCGUAAACCUUUACGCCGAGGUAAACUAUUGGGGCUCCACAAUGACGAGCGCCAAGUGCAACUUCAAAUAUGAGCACUUGGAGAAAUUUUGUUACAUUUGUGGGGUCAUGGGUCAGAUUGAAAAUUUUGCGAGAUCUUAUUCCAAGUACUAGCUUCACUCAUUGUCAGGAAGUGGGAUGAUUCCAUAUGAGUCACCCCGCGAAAUGCCAAGGACAAACUAGUGCCUAAGUACCUUAGCAAAAGGACGGACACAAAACCAGAGCUUGCCAUCAACAAGAUGAACCUUCGUGCAGGGAAGGCCGCUCCUCCACAACAGCCUAAUCUCAACGUCUGAUUUUUGGAGGAAGAUGAAGUAAUGAUGGACAUCCCUGAUGAUUGGAAACGCCGUCGAGAGGAAGAGUCUUGCACCAUGACACCGAUAGAUGGGGCAGUGACCAGAAACCCUCUAAAUCCCCGAGGAAAGAUGGUUUAGGCACAUCAAUGAUUCAGGCGGGUCAAUUCGGUUUGAACCGCCCAGCUGCAUAAAACGCCAGUUGGUAGGGGCUGCAGAGUGUGUCGAUCCCGACAGCAUUUCCCUAAUGUCGAUCUCAUCGACUCCACCCGAUGGUUCUAUUUUAUUUUGUUAUUUGUUUCUGCAUUUGGAACUUGUCUGUAGUUCUUUAUUCCGUUUGGUUCUUUUCGUUAGUAGUGUCAGUUCGUGGUGGAGUUUAUUUUCGAGUCGUGUCUAGUUUUAGCGUCAUAUGAGAUUAAUGCCUUGGGAAGUCAAUUCGAUUGGGUGGAGUGUAAGGAUACGAUGUAGAUUUACCAGCCUAUGAUUAAGUACAUUUCCAAUGUAACUUAUUGAAUUGCAACUCUCCAAAAAACUAUUCAUACUUUGUUAGUGAUUAUUGGCCAAUGACAAAAUGAAAGUACAUAUGCAACUUAUAAUAAAAAAACGACAACUUGCAAUUGUGGACAAGAGCUCAAAGGAAAAUGUCGUUCAAUCUUGGAAUCAGUUUUAAUAAUGUGUUAGCCGAAUCAAGAUUGUAGUGUCAGCUAACAUUACCAAGGUUAAUGGAUAGUACCAUAACAAUUUCUUUAUUUUCAUCACAUUACCAAACGGAACUUUAUGCAUAUUCUUUUGCCUUGUGGCUUUUUACAAAUACACCCAAAACAGAAUGGGUGGGAACAGCAUUAGAAAAGACGGGUGAUUUUCAAACUACAAUAGCCAUUUUCAGUGGUGUAUUGUCAUGUUUUCUGCUUCAUUCCUAAUGGAUUCGAACAAUGCAGUUGACAGGUAACGCUCACCUGCACUAGGAAAGAUCACCUGCACCAUACAAAUGUCAACUUGCAAACAUCUUCACAGAAAUUGGAAAAAAACAAACAAAAUAGAAUUUUGUUGCCAAAGAAACUCACCACAAUGAGUUUGCCACUGUAUUCAGGCCUCUUCCCCAGUUUGAUUGCAGCAGCAGCUGCAGCACCCGAUGAUAUCCCUACCAACAGCCCUUCUUUCAAAGCCAGUUGCCUGGCUGUUUCAAUUGCUUCUUGACUUGUUAUCUAAAACAAUAUAACCAAAUUAAACCCCUUUGCUUUCUGUUGUUUCCUUAUUAACAUAUUAUACAAAUGGACUUACUGUAAUAACUUCAUCAAGCAAGUCCACGUUCAGUACUGCAGGAAUGAUCCCAGCACCAAUCCCUUGGAUCAAAUGCAUCCCUUUUUUUUUGCACAGAGAAUAUUCAGAUUUCUGACUACUUUGCUUCAAUAUACGAAAGUUUCACUACAGUGUAAUAGUUUUUAUUGCUCACCAGGCUUUCCUCCAUUCAAGACAGCACUUUCAACUGGCUCUACACCAUAUACCUGAAUUGCAAAAUCAGAUGGUACAGUAUAAAUACAAAAGCAUCUAUCUUUUCCCCCUCUGCUCAACUAGAAAACUACCUUAAUUUCAGGGUUUUGUUCCUUAAGAAACUGGCCAGCUCCAGUCACGGUACCACCAGUCCCAAUACCAGAAACCAGAGCAUCGACUUUGCCUCUAGAGGCCUUCCAGAUCUCCGGCCCAGUAGUUUCAUAGUGAAUCUACCACCAGAGGAAGUGAAAUGUUAAAAAAACAAAAUCAAUUGUAUUUGCAGAAAGAGCAAACAUCAAUGAUAAUUGAUAAGUGGUGGUAACCUUUGGAUUAGCAGGAUUCUCGAAUUGCCUUAGCAUGUAACCAUUAGGUGUGUUGCUCAAUAUCUCUUCAGACUUGUCCAGAACACCUCUAAAGCCCUUGGCUGGAUCCGUGAGGAUAACCUCAGCUCCAAAGGCUAAAAGGAUAAUUCUUCUUUCAAGGCUCACCAUGGAUGGCAUUACCAGAAUAACUUUGUAUCCUUUUCCUGCUGCAAUGAAUGCCAUCCCAAUCCCAGUGUUGCCGCUUGUUGGCUCAAUCAGCACCGUCUUCAACCCAAAAUGUAACCAUCCAUCCAUCCACUCAUUCAUUCAUUCAUUCUAUCCAACGAACUAAGAAACAAACAAAUAUUGAUGCUUCACUAUGAUCAAUCACUGACCUUCCCUGGUGAUAUGAGGCCUUUGUCUUCUGCGUCUUUUAUCAUACUAUAUGCAAUCCUAUGAAAGCAAAUUUCACGACUAAGACACAAGACUCCAAAUCUAAGUUGGUUGGGAACAUGUUAAGAGAAGGAAACAGGUUGUUUAUGUACCUGUCUUUGACACUAGAACAAGGUUCCAUCAUCUCUAGCUUGGCGGCAAUUCGUGCCUCGCAACCAUCAGCAACAUGGUUCAGGUAUACCAUUGGAGUGUUUCCUAUUAACUGCAGAAGGUGAAAAGCAAUAAAUAAGCAAGCGUAUUUGGAUCAAUCCAGCAUCAUCAAAGACGCUUUAGUAAAUGCAGUAGAAAAACGCUUACUUCAGUGACGUCAUUCUUAAUUAUAUAGUUCUCCGCCAUUGAUCCUCACCACUUGAGAGAUUAUAGUACUAUCAAGAUUGAAGAUAAACAAUCCAUAUGCUUAGUUUCUAACGAGUGAGUAAUCGUAUCUAUUUAACAAAACAUUAAUCGAUCUCCAACACAAAGGAAAGCACAAUUGGAUGAAAGGAAAGCUAUUUGUCCUCUAACCUGCAACCAGAAAACUCAAGGAACCCAGCAAAAGCAAGAGUCUUUUUUUCUAUGUAUCUGCAGAAAGAAGAAGAUAGAGCAGAAGAAAUAGUGGGGUUUGGAAUUUAAUAUUUAUAACGGAAAAUAGUCCAGCUACUAGCAGCUGAGGAAUAUGACAAGAGUAUUAAAAUCCAAAACCACACAGACUGUCCCAUGACCAUGUUUUAGGUCAACGUUGAGGACUUUCGGGGCUGCUUAUCCGAUGCAGAUGGUGGGGGUGAUGCACAAGACGAAAUUCCAUUGUUAAAAUAUGGCCAUGGGUAAGAAAGAAUGGCCAAUCCUAUCUCCCAGCAGCAGCAGCUGAUGCAUCAGUUGAAAAUUCCACGAAAGAAUUCAUUACUUCUACGCUUUUGCUAUUUAGUUUUGGACCGCGCUUCCUUGUGGAAAUUCUUGUUUUGUGCAAGUGCAAGGAAAUUUCUUUGGCAGUACUUAUUGUUAUGGAUCUGACUAGGCAAAUAAAAGAUCUUAUCGUAGCCAGUACAAGGUUCAGAGAGGUACCAAACUGAAGAGAAUGGUCCAGAUUAACAAGAUAAUUUGUGGCACAAUUUGUUUUACAGUAAGGUGUGGAAUAAACAUAUUUCCCAAUUUUGGUAUUUAACUUUUUUUUUCCGUAAAAUACUAUUAAUCUCAAUUACCUCAUCCAUUUUUAGUUGGUCAACCAAAAACAUAAAAGUACGAUCGACCUAAUUGACAUUAUUAUGAACCAUAAUAUGCUCAACCAUACUAGCCGUAUAACAGCAAUGGCGCCAAACACCAUUAUGAAUUGAAAAUCACCAAAUUACGACGACACAAGAUACCCAUCUCAGUUUGAUCUUCAACAUCCCCUCAACUUUGAGCUCAAGACAGUCACACUCCAACAUAAUAACAUCGGUGAAUGUUCCAUCCCCUGCGACAAGAACCCUCUUGAUGAUUCCCUUUAUGACGGGUUAGAUAAAAAGUGUCACAGCCACUUUAUAGUCGGUCAUGAUACGGAGUUUCUUCAUGCACGUCGACUAAGGAAUCUUCACGCCCUCGAAAAUUCUCUUCACCUCAGCAAUGUAAUCGAGUAGGCCCCCAAAUAUGAAGAGAAGACCGAAUGAACUUACCCCGAUCAUCACGUAUGAUACCACCAGCCACAUGGAGCCAUACAUUUCAAUUUUGUACAAUUAACAUCUUGUAUCUUAUAAAAACAACCGAUCGGUCCCAAAAACCUAACAAACCUGUCCUACGUCCCAAAACCAAAAGGAAGCGAACAUUUUCUGUGUAAUAAACCGAUGCUUUAGUAGACAAAUCUUUUUAACACACAAACUAUAUAUUUAAUUCUGCUGAAAAAGGUCACUCAUUCCAUAAAAUUCUAUGUAACGGCUCACAAACUUCAUGUCCAAACAUCACAGCUUUUCCCAUUCCGGUAGACUACUAAGAAACCAUCAGAAAUAUGGACCCUCUCUGUAUUAUUCACUCAGUACACACAUGAUACUGCUUCAAGGCUCGAAAACCAUGUUCUCAGCUUCUCGCUUCACAUCCUCGAAGAGUAUCGAUGAGAGGUAUCGCUCACCGAAACUUGGGAACACCACCUGUUUCAGAACCACAUUUUUGUCUCAAGCUUAAAACAAUCACAACGGUAACUAAGGGAUGACGUUGAAGUAUACGACCGAGUUAUAGCUUUGUCAGAAGAUAAGAGUGGGAAAAAAACGUACAACUAUGAGCUUUCCAGCAUUCUCAGGCCUCUUUGCUAUCUUAAUAGCAGCAGCUGCGGCUGCACCAGAUGAUAUUCCUACCUGCGAUCGAUACAUGCAAAUUCUGUCGGCAAAUUCGGAGAUCGUGUACAGAAUGACGGUUAUGAUAACAUGAAGAGUCUUAUUCCAAACCUACCAUCAGUCCUUCCCUCAAGGCGAGGGUUUUUGCUGUCUCGAUAGCUUCUUCGCUCGAUAUCUAUGAAAUUAACCAAAUUUGGAAAUGAAACAGCUGGAAAUAGGGAAAGGAGGGUACAAACAACACAGCUAUUGAGAGAUGAAAUAAUGAUGAACGUAUGAAGAAUAAAAGUUAAGAACUUACUUGAACGACCUCAUCAAGCAAACCAACAUCCAAGACUCCAGGGAUGAAGCCAGCACCAAUUCCCUGGAUUUUAUGCGGGCCUUAAGAGUCCACCACCAAACAGUUCAUCAGAUUAGCAAACAACAGAAAAUGCAAAAACACUUUCUUUUUCACUGUUACGAUGAUAACAUGUGCAUAUGAUGCCUCAUAUUCUCGGAAGAGCAAAAAUGAAGACCUACAAACCAAUACUGACCAGGUUUUCCUCCAGACAACACUGCACUUUCAACUGGUUCAACGCCAUAAAGCUGGAGAGAAAGUUGAAAGCAAACAGUUAGUCAAGGAAAUAAUAACAAUGGUACUUUCAGUCUAUUGCUGUCUAUGUGAUAGAUAAAUUGAAGUGGUACCUUUACAUCUGGGUUCUGCUCCUUAAGAUACUUCCCAGCACCAGUUACUGUUCCUCCAGUUCCUAUACCCGACACAAAGGCAUCUACUUUGCCAGCUGAACCUUUCCAUAUUUCCGGCCCAGUGGUUUCAUAAUGAACCUAGGCAUGGAAACAAGCGUCAUUGCGAGAUGUUAACUGUAGAUCUCUAGCUUACUACUGAGAAGCAAAAUCCUCAGUACCUUUGGGUUGGCAGGGUUUUCAAAUUGCUGAAGAAUGUAAGCAUUAGGUGUCUUUGCCAAGAUAUCUUCUGCUUUCUGAACAGCCCCUUUCAUACCUCUUGCUGGAUCUGUAAGAACAAGCUCGGCUCCAAAAGCACGGAGAACCAUUCUUCUCUCCAAACUCAUCGAAGCAGGCAUGGUAAUUAUAAGUCUGUAGCCCUUGGCUGCUGCCAUGAAUGCCAGCCCUAUCCCAGUGUUCCCACUUGUUGGCUCAAUAAGGACACUCUUUAGCGAAAGAGAAAAACUUAAAAGUCAGAAUCUCAUUUCUUCUCAUGCAACUUGUCAAUCUCUUUCAGUAUCUUAUAUAUGAAGUGCCAAGAUAGUAAAUCGGAUUGCUAACCUCUCCAGGCUUGAUAAGACCCUUCUCCUCGGCAUCAGCUAUCAUACUAUAUCCAAUCCUACAUAAGAGAAAACAGUUCUUAAGGUUAUUAGCAAAUUAAUCCAAGAGAGCAGGGCACCUCAAAAUUCCUUGCUCAUUGUAUAUAGAAACCUGAGAAGUUAAAUAUGAUAACUAGCCAUUCAGAAACCAAUCUCUUAAGAAUAGAAAAAAUAUCCAGAAACACAAUAAGAUUAUCGUGUAUAUAUGCAACAGCCCUACCUAUCCUUGACGCUUGAGCAAGGCUCCAUCAUCUCUAGUUUAGCAGCAACCCGAGCGACGCAGCCAUCCACGACAUUGGUGAGAUAUACCAAUGGUGUUUUACCAAUCAACUACUCAAUUCAAGAAGGAAAGACACAAGGAUAUAUCAGCAGACAGCAAUCGCAUUCAGAUCUUAACUGGUGCAUGUCAUCAAAUCUCAUUUCUAAAAAGGAGUAACAUAGCUUACCUCAGUGACAUCCUUAGCAAUCCCAAUGUUCUCCUCUGCCAUUCUGAUGAAAAAGAGUGCAGCACAAUUACUGCAAAGAAACCAGGAGCCACAUCAUCAGGCUAUAACACCCAAAACAUAAGACGAAAACCACCAAACAUGGUCGAAAGAAAGCAAUUCAUAAACAACAAACGGUCUGAUUGAUGGCAUCAGUGAUUCAGAUAUUACAAAGAUCACUGAAACACAACCUCAGACUUCCAGAAAGAAAAAGGAAAAAGACACAAAUCGCACGAACGUAUAACAGAUUUGCUAAAUACUCGACACAAAGAUCAAAGAUUUGAACUGAUGAGUGAGCUACAUUAACUGAAUGAAAGAAAGAAGAAACCGACAUGGGUAUUUGGGUGCAGAGGGAAUGGUAAGAGCAAAAGCUGGAAGCCGACUAGAAAUUUCUGUGGGCAAUGCAACUGAACUUUCUGGAGCAGAAUAGAGGGAGGAAGAGUUGGUAAAAAGGUUCCUUGCAACUUUGAGGAAUAGAGAGAAACUCACCUAGAAAGGCCUUAUCUUUGAAUUGAGGAGACCAAGACAAAUGGAAGAGAAAGAGCGGAGGAAGAAAAAGCAGCUAAUGAUUCGAAUUAUAUGAUAAUCCCAACCGAGCACAAGCCAACAAUAUAUCCCCUUUCGAUCGAUGUAUCUUAUAUAAUAUUCCCUCUCUGUACAGAACUCGGCGGCGAACGUUAUGAUUUAUUGAUUCGGCUAAUUACGUUUCCAUUUUUUCAACAAAUUUUCGUCGUAAUACAUUGUAACGUAGCUCAUCAUUUCGUUUUCUUGACCCUGCCAGCCUUUUGUUUAUAAUAAGGAUUAUAUUCAAAGUAUUCCUUUUAUUAUUACAAGUUAACAUAUGAGCUUUUUUAUUAUGUUUUUUUCGAUUUAAACCCUUCGACUUUGCUUCGAUUAACAAUCAAGCCUCUUCCUGUCUUUUCUGGUCGUCGGGAUCCGUUGUUUAUGAGUCAGCCCGUAUAUGGUGGUUUAUAAGCUGAUGUAGUGUUGCUGACUGGGAUUUUCACUAAUUUUAGUCAACAUUAUUUAAUGUGCAUAUUUGUAAUUAAAAAAUCUCCAUCAAAUAAGGAAAUCUGAGCAUCAUUAAAUAAGGAAAUCUGAGUAAUGUAAAGGUAGAUAGGAGAUUUGUUCUUCUUCAUACCUUCAAUCUGCUACAACCCUAUAAGGAAGAGAGGAGAUUUCUUCGUCUCAGUAUUUUUUUCAAAUUCCAACAUUCAUCUCGUUAUAGCAAAAUCGGAUCCAGCAACAUAUAAUCAUAUACAUUGUAUCACUUUUGUCCUCUUAUUGUCUACUUUCGAUUAAAGUAAGGAAGCUAUUGAAAUCACUCUAUGCAGCUUCAAUUUCAGUUCAUGAACCUGAAGCUUCAGUUAAACGAGAAAGUGAAAGAAGUUCAAUAACCAUUCAAAUAGAAUAACGAAAAACUCAAAUACACAAAUUAAAAAUUAAAGCAUCAGCUAAUGAUCCCGACCAGGCGACCAACACCAAUUAAAUAACCUAAUAGGCCAAUUAAAUGAGCUAAUAGGGAGCUACAACGGAAGGAUAUGGAGAAGGAGAUGAAGGAUUUUUUAAUUGCUUAAUUGUUAUAUACUCAGAUUUUCUUUUCCUAAUUACAUUGCUCUAAUUUUCUUAUCAGGAGGAAUUUUUUAAAAAUAAUAAAAAAAUAUGCACAUUUAAUGAAGGGUUUAACAAAAAUUAUGGAAAUCCCAAUCAGCACCACCAUAUCAUCCCAUAAACCGACAUGUAUUUGCUGACUCAUUACAAACGGACUCUGGCGACCAAAAAAAAAAGGAGGGGCUUGAUUGUUAAUCGGAGUAAAGUUUGGGGUUUGAAUCCGGAAGAAACAUAACAGAGAGGCUCAUAUGUUAACUUGUAAUAAUAGAUGGGCCAUUUUUUAUAUAAUCCCUUUAUAAUAAUAAGAAUCUUAGGCGUCAAAUUUUUAUUUUUAUUUAAAGACGACGUCAAAACGUCCUUAAUUAUAAUUAGAAGUAAUAGGAACAAGACGCGGGAGAGAAAUCCCAAUGAUAUCAUAGUUUAGCCAGCGAGGCAGACCUCGGUUCGACGAAUCGAAAAAAUGAGCCCCAUACAAUAAAGAGUGGCCUUGAUUAGCCAAGUAGUCUGCGGCAUAAUUAGCUUCGCGGUAGAUGUGGGAGAUAUUAACAUCCCUUUGUCGGCUGCAGAGUUCCUGAAACUACAUAACAAGAAUGGCGUGUUGAUGGUUGAUGGACGAUGCUUGAGUGAGAAAAGCAACAACUGCUUUCGGAUCCGACUGUACACGAAUCCGCAUAAUCCCAAGCGACCAUACUAGUUCCAGACCCUCAACGAUCCCCCUCAUCUCAACACGAGUAAUGGAGCAACUGCGGAGACUAAUAGUAAAGGCUUUGAUAAAUGAACCUCGAUCAUUAUGAAUAAUACCACCUGCUCGAGGUAACAAGGGCUACCCAAUAAUCACACCGACGAGCCACAUCCAGAGGCGAGUUUGUUGCCUAUUCGAAGAGACGCUUAUUGCGAGCCUGCCAUAGAAGCCAGCUCCCUAGCUGAACGCCAAAGCGUGCUUGGGACUUCGAAUGUUAUCCGCCAGCCAUGCUUCCUCAGUCUUUGUAACUUCAGUGGUUAUGAUUACAACUGACCAAAAAGCCCCCCAAACCUGUUUGGAAAAACAACAAUCUCUCAAAACAUGUAUGAAAGAUUCCUCAUGUAUAGAACAAAAGGAGCAAGACACUUGGUUUGUAAGGUGCCAACGUCCACGGUCCAUGUUUGUGAGAAGUCGAUUAUGUGACGCUAGACACAGGAAAUGUCAAAUUUUAAUGGGUCUUUUCCACUUCCAAUUUUUUUUCAUCACGGACGAUUUUUUUCCUCAUUUAAGUCCUUUAGCAGAAGAUAGGCCGAGCAGAUUAUGAAUUUUUUAGUCGGGUCUAAUCCCCAAACCACCGAAUAUGGGCCCAAAUUGGCUCUAGGAGGGGUCAUCCCCAAAUUUUGUGCUGCAACAUUAGUAGGGAGACAGGCAGAGAUCAAAGGCUCAUUCCAAACCCCAUAAUCAAGAACCAAAUCAGAGACAGAGUUAGAGACAUCAAUUCCCUAAAAAUUGAUAUCAAAAUCAAUCAACAUGAGGCCACUAUCAAUCCAUCUGUCAGUCCAAAAUCUCAUUUGCUGGCAACUGCAAAUUGCCCAUUGCAGACCCUUAAGUCUUGUUGAUUCAUUUCCAUGUUGCACAGAUACCAUUCGUUCGAAUCUUGACGUAGCCCUCAUCCGACUUCCUCAAAUACUUGGUAAGAAUCACCUUCGCCCAGAAUUCCUCCGGUCUCAUCAUAAUGCCCCAAUCCACCUUCAUGAGAAAUGACAUAUUCAUUUCACGAGCACUUUGUUGCAAAUGUUUUGUUACUUAUUUUAGGCUAUAGAGCAUAAUGAAGAAAUGAGGCUCAGAGCAAAAAGAGAGUCCCAAGAACAACCUCAGGCACCAGUUACAGAUAAGGUUUGCUACUAGACCAUCAUCUUGAAUUUUGAUAUAGAAUCUGGGAGGAAACUGGUUUCAGCUCUACACUGCAUGAUUUUUAAAAAUCUAGCUAUUUGUACUUAAGGUCGAGCCUUGGAGAUCCCUUUAGAUAUCUUAGGGUUAACUGCCUCCAUAUGAUCUUCAUUGGGGUUAUGCAUAUGCUGACUCACAACUCCAACAACAUAUGCAAUGUUACGACGUGUAUGAGAUACAUAAAUUAGUUCCCCACAAGUCUCGGAUAUCUUCCCCUUUCUACCAAUGCUGGUUCUGCUUUUCGACUCUGCCGUUUAUUCUGCUCCAUUGGUGUAUCUACUUGUUUACAACCAACAUCCUAGUUUCUUUCAAGAGAUUAAGAACAUAUUUUCUUGAGACGCUGUUCGACUAUCCUUUGAUCAAGCAACCUCCAUUCCUGGAAAGUACUAUAGGUACCCAAGAUCUUUGGUUUCAAAAAUUCAGUGGCUAACCUCUUAGUUAGACACAGAGUGUGAUCAGUUUGACACUGCAACCCUUCAGCCUUGACGGCAUUAGUGAAUUCAAACCAUGCACGUGGUUCCUGUUUCAGACCAUACAAUGCCUUCUUCAGUUUACACACCACUCCAACCUCCUCGGAUAAAUGUCUAGUAGAGUUAGUUACGGUCAGUAGAGUUAAGAGUUACAGAUUAGCACUAUUAGAGCUGCAGUCAGUAGAGUUAGAGUUGUAUAUAUAUAUUUUAGUAUUUUUUGGCUAAUAUAUUCUUCAUUUCUUCUAAUGAUGAGUGUAAGAAGCAGGGCAGUAUGUUUGCCUAUAUAUAAAUACAACCAGUUCAUCGUUAUGUUGUUCAAGAUAUGCUGUACAUCCUUCGUCAGGUCAAGCUUGGUGAGCCUGGAUACAAAGAAAGAUAUUAUGCUGAAAAAUUUGAUGCAUCAACACCAGAGGAGUUGGAGAAAGUGCGAAAAGAUAUAGUAAGUUCCAUUUCAGCUGUUGUGAUUGCAAGCUUUGGUAUUUUUAUUUGAUGAUUUAUGUCAUUGAGGUAUCAUUAUGGUGUGAAAGUCAUGCUGCUGGAUGAACUUAGAGACGGUCAAAAUCCAGACUUAUGCUGAGCCCCCUUUUCUGGUUUCUGUUUUGGGAUCUUUGGUUAUAUUCUUGGCAGGUUUUGAAAUACGUAGAAGGCUUGUGUUGGGUAUGCCACUACUACUACCAAGGCGUUUGUUCGUGGCAAUGGUCAGUUUCAUUUUGAGUGAAGUGCUACUAUGUGCUUCUCUUAUAUAUUGUUCUGAAACUAGCUGUAGAUUUCUAUUUCAUUGAUUCCAUCUACCAUAAGAGUUGCGUUCUUGUUAAAGCCUGAAGACAUCUGUAAGACAGCUGCUAAGCAAAAGAUCGGUCUUCUUGAAACCUUUUGACCAGCUCAUGGGAACUCUACCAGCUGCAAGGUUUUAUCUCCUUCCCCCUUGGGUGCCGGUCUUCCCUUAUGCGCCCUUCUCAUUUCUGAUGCUGUCCAUAUGAUUUGCUGCAGUUCUAAUGCUUUGCCCGAGGAAUACAGAAAACUGACGACUGAUCCCUCAUCAGUAUUACAAUCGUUCUUCCCUUCUGGUAAGUUCAACUUGCUGGGAUGGCCAAUUAUGUUUUUAUGUAUUAGCCGUGUUCCAUGAUACCAAUUAUGUGGUUCCUUCCUUGGACAGAUUUUGAUAUCGAUAUGAAUGGCAAACGCUUUGCCUGGCAGGUGAAUGAUUCUUUUUCAGUGAUAGAUUCAAUUUUCAAAUGAUAUCUGUCAUUGGAAUUAAGCCAUUGGAUUUCUUGUCUUGUUCUUGUCGAAUUGCAGGGUAUUGCAAAAUUGCCAUUCAUUGACGAGAGGAAAUUGUUCGGUCAAACAAAGAAGCUUGAGAGUACAUUAACGGUCUGCAAUCUUCUUCUUUUUAACUUGGUAUCAUUAGUACACAUACUGGAAGUACCAACGCAUUGAGUAUUAAUCAUCUGUCUGUUUAGGUAUUACAAGACAUGUUUCUAGCUUUGCAUAGGAUUGUAAGACAUGUUUCUGAUGGGUACUACUGUACAGAUAUCGAACUAUGAAUGACAGUUGUAGCAUGUGAAUGGGACAAUUGUCCCUAUCGCACUCGUGGCUCCCUUGAAUCUAUUAAACUGGACACUCCUUGAAUUUUAAUACUUAGGAUUUUCCCUAAUGUGAUAUUUUAUGUAUUAGAUGUGCGCUACAUAUCAGUAUCGAGUCACCAUGGUCUUUAGCAAAUGAUGAUGUGUUUGGCAUUUGAAGGACGAGGAGAGGGUUCGCAACAGUGCCAUGCUUGAUCUGCUUUACAUCCAUCCUGUCCAUCGUUUGUCUCAGCAAGUUGUCUCUUACUACCAUCAGAACUAUCAAUUACCUCCUCAUGAAAGAUUCCUUUGGGCAAUCGAUCCAAGUGCUAGGUUUGUUUUUCUUUGGUAUUGAUAAUGAUUGAUAUGCUCAUUCAGUUGUGUUCGCCGGUCUUGCUAAUUUCUGGAUCUUGCAGUGCUGGAAUGAACGGGUAUAUUGGGUUGAGCUAGAGGAAUGUGCACAGGAUCUUGCUCCCAUCGCCUAUAAAGGGAUUUCCACCUAUAGAGCAUAAGCUAGUUUUGUAAGUUAAACCUUUUGGGAUUUGCUGGAUCAAACUAUUUGAAAUCCAUGUCAUCCUUACUAUCUCUUGAUUGCAGAAAUAUUACGUAUCUUUCUCCUAUGAGCCAUAGACACAUCCCUGAACCCCCAGCUGGUGUAAAAUUUCCCGGAAAGGUUCGUAAGUUCAUAUGAUACUUGUUGUACCUGUUACUAUCUAUAUUUUGGAGAACGCUAUAUAAAUGCAAAUCACUUUACGGUCCAUGCAAGUCUCAAAUUUGAACGUGGUUCACCCUCAUUUCGCAUUAUGUCUGACAGCUAGGUGAGUGAUUUCUGUGUACUUAUCUUUCAUUUCGCAUUAAUGUCUGACAUACUCUUCACUUAAAUCAAGUUUCAACUGCAAAUUCUGAAGAUACAACUUGGUAGAACUAGACUACGGACUUGCAGAUUUUAUGCCAUCUUUUUAAUUUAUUAUGUUCACCCUAGGAUUGCUUGUUUGAAUUUGUGGAACAGAAGAUAGAAAUUAAAAGCUGAUUUUCUUCUUAGCGUAGUUAUUGUUGGAUUGUGGGUUGCUUUCAAAAAGAAGUUAUGAUGUGGUUUGGUAAUUGUCCCGUUGCAAAUUUGUGUGACGUAAUUGUAGAUUGUAAAGGCCGCAGACGUCAAACCAUUCCCUAUACCAUGGCAUGAAGACAACAGUGGGCGGCGUCAACAAGGCAGAGAAAGGUAACGAUUCUCAGAACGAUCUUAUUACCUUUUACUCAAGCUGUUUUAUAUGGCUGGAAUUGUGACCUGAUAUUUGCUGAAGAUAGCAAAUGGGAACUUACCAUUGAGGAACCAUGGCUAAAACACUGCUCCGUUGUUGUGCAGGCAUCAGUUACCUGGAGUAAUUUCUGGUCCUCAAUUGGGAGAAGCAGCUCAUCGUCUUGUUAGAAACACUCUCAACAUCAGACCAAACAAUGGAUUGCUUGGACAGCCUCUAGUUCCAAACGGUGCUGGCAAUCAAAUGGCCAGUAGGAGCAGUAGGCCUUCACCUUAUGGUUAUGGAAGAGGCUAUGGUUAUGAUCCAAACAAUCGUGGUGGUUACUACAACAACAACCAUCAGGAACCAAUGAGUGGACCUAAAUCUCCUAUCCCAUCGAAUAGUGUGCGAGGAUCUGGACACAACUUUAGGCCCCAGGAGAGGUUUCGGAAUGUGGAGAAGUUCCGGGACUUGAGGACCGGCGUGUCUUCUUUCGCACUGGAGUCUUCUUUGGCACUGGAUGAAAACGUUGGAGUCGAGCCACUUGCAAUUCUACAGCGGGAGCCAAGUUCAAGAUAUCCUCAAAACUUCAAUCAUCAGUUUGAGCAAAGCACGAGUCCCCUUCCCUCACCUCCCUCCAAAUGGUCCAAUAAUAUGCCAGAUGAAGCAUCUGGGAGAUAUUUUAGACGAGGAGAUACAGCCACAAGAAGCGCAAAGGAGAAGCAGCAAGUGAGACAUGUCUAUCAGAUUAAGAUGCGAGCAACUCCAGAAGCUUCAAAGACAGUAGCAGAUCCGAACCACCAGUAGUAUUCCAGACUUGCCUUUUAACUGCCAACUUGCUCUCUUCCAAGGUGGUUUAACAACACUCGAGCAGCUGAGCUAGCUACUCCAUGUUUGACAGAAUUCCUAAUUAUGAAGAGGGCAUCCAUAACCUUCAGUCACCUGCAUCAGUAUCUUAUUUACAUAUUGGAGUUAUUAGGGGUACAAAUAGGAAGUUGUCAUGCUGUGUUUAGACUUUAGAUGGUCGUAGGUAGAAAAUGUCGGUUCUCUGUUGUAGGAGUUCUAUACAGGAAAAGAGUCGGCUAGUUUGUAAGGUUUCAAGUUAGCUGUAUUUAUUGUGUCCGUGUAAUUGGUGUUUAUGGCUAUAUAGAAUCAUAGUUACACUUUCCCCCUCCUACGUUAUGCAAAGGCGCAAUAUUGUGUAAUUAGGUAUCAUCUUUUGGAGGGCAUUUUUUUCUGUUCUGCAGGAGGGAAGCCAACGCUCUUGAUAAACUGACCUGAGAUCUGGCAAUCCACCAAGUUGCUUACUCGGAUAGGUAAUCGUACUAACUAGAAACCUUGUUAUUCUUGAUCUCCGAUGUGAUUAAAUGAAAUUUACAGAUCGAUAGGUAAACAACACUUGUUAGAGUUGAGGUUUAUCUGGUUAACCCAGGGUAUAAGAAGUCGUUUGUGACAACUAGGAGUGUGUUAGCUAGAAAUAAAUGGAUUAGAGAUAGUUAGGAGAGAAUAUUGUGGUAGAAGCAAAGGCAGACAGGAAUGAAAUCCUGAUGAAUCUCUGAAACAACAAACUGUGUAGUCUAUACAAUGCUCAUACACACAUAAUUGAGGAAAUUAGUGAUAGAUAAAGGCAGGAGGUAUAGAACCAUAAGAGAAAGAGGAAGAAACAGUUGAGAACCAACAAGGGAGAGGCUAGAGACAGAACGAGUAAAUCAGUGAAUCAUUCAU
rnacentral:lncRNA from 1 species